rnacentral:lncRNA from 1 species
CUUCCAUGUGAGGUUGGGGCAUUGCAGUGCCGAUGAGUGGUUCCUGCUUUCCUCUUCUACCUUCAUCAUCAGGUUGCAGCAUUGCUGUGUCACUGAGGUGCUCCUGUCCCACUUUUGUAGCUUCGCCAUCAGGUUGCAGCAUUGCAGUGUUACCGGCCGGUUCAUGUUCGAAUGGCCAAGCGUCUUCAUCAGGUUGCAGCAUUGCUGUGUCACUGAGGUGCUCCUGUCCUACUUUUGUAGCUUCGCCAUCAGGUUGCAGCAUUGCAGUGUUACCGGACGGUUCAUGUUCGAAUGGCAAAGCGUCUUCAUCAGGUUGCAGCAUUGCAGUGUCACUGGCUGGUUCAUGUUCGAAUGACCAAGCUUCUUCAUCAGGUUGCAUCAUUACAGUGUUGGCCGAUGGAUCUUCUGUUGUUACAGCUGGCUUCAUAGGGACAUCUGAAUGAUGAGCAUCUCCAGGCACUCCAGUCUCAUCCUUUCCCUCGUUAACUUCUUGGCCAUUCUUCUUGAUGAAUUUAUUCUUGUUCCGUUGCUUCUUGAAACCACCUUUCUUGGUCUUAAGUGAUUUUGGAGUUUCAACGGGCUUUUUCUCGGUGUCCUUACCUUGCCUUUUUCCAGGCACAACAAUAUAUUUUGUGGUACCAUUCGCGCAACCCUCUGAUUGGCCUGCAACUAAAAAAGGCGGUGGAUGAUCCAAUGUCCAACCCCAAUACCCAAAGGGUGAAAACAGUACAAUUUCGACAGUGAAUAACCAGGACAAGAAGAGCAAACAAAAAGAAUACCUUGGAUUGCAAGAAGAGCAGUUCGGGCAGCUUUUAUCUCUGCCUCUUUCUUUGUCUGUGCUGUAGCACCAAUGUAUUGUAUUCCACCAAUCUCUACGGUGCAUAUGUAUGGACUUUGUUUGUUGCAAAUAUAAGAUGGAAUAGCAUAAUUCAUCUUCUGAGCAUACUCCUGAAGAAGAUUCUUGCACAGACCAGUUUCUUGCUGGAAAGCAAGGUAAGAUGUGUCAAGAAAGCACAACAGGAAAGAGACUGUGCUGGUAUUCUAAUUCAGUCAUCCUCCUACAAAUUAAGCACGCUCAAUCCUAUGAAGCAUGGUUUUAGACGUGAUAUCAAAAAAAAGUACUUGUACUGUGAAGUAUGCAUUUUUUUUUGUUCUUUCCAAGGAUGGAAACCUCACGAUUGUGUGGUUCAUGGUUCAGAAACCGAGGAAACAGAAGUUGUGCAUCUUCAUUACUAACUGAAUCCUACAUUUAGCAAAGAUACUAGCAGAAUGAGGAGCUUGAAUAAAUACGAGCAAUUUCCUUCAGAAAUAAACACAAACAAAUGAGAGUAAAUGAUAUGUUAAACGUGCAAAGUCAUGAAAUAAACAAGAGCUUCCGAUGCACCCUAAGAUACUACGGCCAAAAUUGGCAGGCACUAUUCAAAGACUAACUACAAAGAACACAAAAGAUAAUGGCAUUCAUAUAGUCGACUCAAUCGGCGCAUCAUCACAACUGGACCAUGAAGCAUGUUUCUCAUAUUUAAGGAAUAAGGAAUCAUGUAAAUGCUGUAGGCAGCAGCACAAAUGGCGAUGUUUCCACUACAUGAUUGAAGUGGGCUAGAUGGUUAGUUUCUUCCCAAGCACCACCAAAGAAUAGAAAGAUAGAUUGUCAUCCAUCCUCUUACUAGUUUCUACGUUAAACACAAAAUUCUUUCUGACCAUAUGUUACCCACAAUAUUCUUUCUAACCAUUUCACAUAAGCACAGCCAGGCUUGAGAAAGAAAAACAAUCAACAACUUACGACUGCAGGGAUGGUUGCAUUGGUUGGUAACGCCAUAGACUUGCCGAUUUCCAUGAGCGCUACUUCGGCAGCCGACUGCUCUGCAGCCUUCCGGCUGAAGAACCCGGGCAGCGAGUCGUACUUGACGUCGUUAAUCACCACGGUGGAGCUGAAGAUUGGCGCAUGGGAAGGCCCCUCCUUGAGGGUUUGGUACUCUGGCGUCAUGAGGCCGGCUUUCUGCACGUACUCCUGCAGCCUGCUCUUGAAGACGUAGCAAUUCUCAACCCCUGCGCCAAAAUCAAGCGCACCACGGCUCAGGAAACGACAUCGUUGCAAUGUUGGAGAUGAAAUUCGGGAUUUUAUCUCGGGGGAAACUCUAUGCUAGCAUCCUAUAACAAGUUUUGAGAAGACAUGUAGUGGCAGAAAGUUGGGGUGCCCCCAAAAAACAAGAUAACCUGCGAUCCAGAACCGACGCUCGAAAAUAGCACAGCAGGGGAAGGACAGAAGGGGAGAGGGAGGGCCGUAAGGGGAGGGAGAAGGGGAUCUUGGGCGAACUUACUGAUCCAGCCGCAGCCGCCGCCGUUGGGAGCGGGCGACGUGUUGGCCUCCGGCGGCGUCGCCAUGCCGGCGCCGUCCAUGCCCACCGCGCCGCCGCUUUGGAGAAUCAGAGACGAGGGUUUUGUUGUGCCGGGGUGAAUGGCCGAUGUGCAUGUGUGUGCCUUUAGCAUUUGUACAUGGCCCAAAUAUUAGCCCCUCGUUCGGUUUGUUCCUAAAAGAUAUUCUUUUAAGAUAAAAAGGUUCAAUGUAUAAGGAAUCUAUUUUAUGAUGAUAAAUUAUUAAAAUACUAUUAAGAUUUUUUGAAGGAUUUCAUACAAACAUAAGAAUAGAUCCUCGCACCCUCUGUGUCUUGACCUAUGUUGAUUUGAGCAAGUUUCCAAGUGUUUUCGUUGGAUCAUAUUACGUACGUUUGAAGGUUGAAGACAUAUAAACGGUAGAAAUUUUGGUGAAUAAUGGAUUUAUGGUUCAUCCCAAAGGUUUUGUGAAGAUUUGAAACCGGCUUAAGGUCUACCAUCAAUGGUUGGAAAUCGCCUUCAUAGUAACAUCCAUCCCUCCAACGAUGAUUAGCUUCGCUCCAAGCAAGUGAACAUCGACCAUUUUCGUCUCGAGUGAUGGUACAAUACAUCAAGGGUGGCCCAUCGACCAGGAAACUCAGUGUUUGGCCAGCCUCAGGGCCCAGACGGCCCGGUGGCAACCCGACUCCAAAAAGCAGUCCAGGGGACCAACUCAAAGCAUGAGCGUCAUUUUAGCGUGUGUCGAAGCUAGAUCCGAUCAAUCCAUCGCUAGGGUAUCCUAGCUAUGUGACUUGGCACGACGAUAACAAAAGGAAGGUUUUACCUAGGUUCGGGCUCUCAUGGAGGAGAGAAAACCCUACUCGUGCUCUCGUCUACUGAGUUGGGUGUGUACGAGUUACAAUCGAAUGCAAAGAGAUUGUAUGUUUUCUAUCGAUGAGCCCAACCCUCGACUUAUAUAGCAUACGGUGGGUCCUAGAGUUACAGAUCCUAGUCGGCUACGUCGAUGGAGGAUUGGAGGUAGAGUCCUCCAUGACUUUGCUACCUUCAGAUUGUACGCCAAGUCUUCCGAAGUCUUGGUAUAAUCCGCUAUGGGCAAUCCAAUGUGGCCCAGGACGGAACUAACCUAGGAGUCCUUAGCCCGACCCACAAGGCGGAGGAUCGGCGUUGUGAGGAACCCCGUGGCUGGGACACCGUCAGUAGACCCUGAACCAGUUUUCAAGAUUGGAUGCACCUUGGGCACUCUGAUAUGCACGUCGUCUUCGGUUGUCGGGCUUGAAAACGGGUUCAACAAAGCGUCCCUUAACAACACCUUCACGCAACCAUCCUACAUCUACUGGGUUGCGCACUAAUGUGGCAAAACCACCUCUAUCUUGAAUUAUCAAAGGAGAGAAUCAAUCCGCGCAGAAGAAAUGUCUCAUGCGCAUCUGUUCCUUUAGCGGGUCGGAUUCCCGCAAGGCGUCUCCUCGAGUUGUCGUCACCGGCUUUAACAAGUCAGGCCAGUCUUAUCUAGUGGCCCCAUGGGACCCCGCGUCAGUCUUGAUCUGACGAUCAACGUGACGUGUGUGAGUGGGUUAAGGGCCCACCAAGGCCACUUAUCGUUACUGGUGGGUGUGCUCCUCGAUCCCCUCACGAGUAUUAACGGCGACCCCUCAAUGCUCGUCUUCGUGGGUGUGUGAAAGGACUUGCUGCCACGCGGUAGGGAUAACUUGCCACCUUUCAAUUUAUCCACCCCCUAUAAAAGGGAGGGGAUGCAACGAGAGAAAGAUUCAUGCUCACAUUCCCCUCGCCCUCCUCGUCCCCAGCAUACAAGCUUUUGUUGUUAUUAUGUUGGUUUAUACAGCUCCAUGUGUACAUUUGAAAGGGUUAGUGUGGUCAACUAGAGGGGGAAUGAAUGGGAAACUAACUCUUUUUAACUCCUUUUGUAAAUUUUAGGCUAGGUUGUCCAGAUACGCAACUAGGUGAACAACCAAUAUGACAAGCUCAACAACAGCAAGUGACAACUAAAAACAGCAAGUGACAAUUAAAAGUGAACACAAUAUGUCAAACUUGCACAAUGAAAAUAAAGGAUAUAAGUAACCAUAAGUGGAAACCAGGAUGUGUUUUUGAAGUUACCUCUUUUGGGGGAUGUACAUCUAACGGUGCAAAGUAUCCUCAGAUCGCUCGGUAGGGGUCCAAGCAUGGAUGCAAGUCUGGGAUCGGAGAUCACACGAGGGAUUACCCAGGUCUGGGCCUCCUUAGAGUAAUUCCCUACGUCCUUCUUGUUUUUGUUAUUCAUGGUGGAGGGAUACCUCGCACAUGGGUUACAAUGUUGUUGAGAUUGCUACCGAGAGUUUUUUUAUCAAAGAUUAGAUGGGAAUGAAGAUUCCCCGGCCUCCCCUUAUAUAGAUAGUGGAGCCUAGGGUUUACAGCGAAACACAUCGAUUGUGGCCGUCGUCGCCCUUUGUCUUGGAGGGCAAGAAGGUCAUUGAUGUCCUCCUUGGGGUUUCUGCCCCAGUCUUGGGCCUUGCCAGCCCUCAAGGAGAUCAAGAUCGGGCUCCGUUGAGUAAGCCACCCCCUGUUCAUGACAUAGUUAGUAGCCCCCAAACAUGGCGGAGGUCGCAGGAGUCGUCUUCAAGACCUUCGGUGGUCUCCUGUACUCCUUCAUACAUCUUCGUUACCUCUUGUUGGGAGGCUAAAUGUCAAUCAUGUACAACUGUGUUUUUCUACUCGAGGACGCACAUCUGGAUAAUGCUUCCCUCAGAGUUAGGGUGAAGUCUUGUUAAGAAAACAUUUGAAACGUAUCCCGAUAACCUUGCGUAGUGCCGACGAUGAUGUCGUAGUCCUUGCGCAUGCCCCCUGAAAAACAGGAAAUCACACAAAAAGGGAAGGGCACUUGUCACAUUCGUGUAGUCCGGUGAUACGUCUCCAAGGUAUCUAUAAUUUUUGAUUGUUCAAUGCUAUUAUAUUAUCUGUUUUAGAUGUUUUGUAUGCAUUAAUAUGUUAUUAUAUAUUAUUUUUGGGACUAACCUAUUAAUCUAGAGCCUAGUGCUAGUUUUUGUUGUUUUCCAUGUUUUUGAGUAUUGCACAUAAGGAAUGUUAAACGGAGUCUAAACGGAAUAAAAUCUUCAGAAUGAUUUUUCUUGGACCAGAAGCAACCUAGAAAACUUGGAGAUGAAGGCAGGAGAGCCACCGUGUGGAGACAAGCCACAGGGGCGCGCCCUAGGGGGGCACCCCUGGAAUGUGGCCCCACGGCAGCCCUCCUAACCCUAUUCUUCGGCCUAUAAAUUCCCAAAUAUUCCCUGGAUACCAAAGGGAGCCACAAAAAUAUUUUUCCGCCGCCAGAAGCCUCUGUUCCCGUGAGAUCCAAUCUUGGAGCCUUUUCCGGUAAUAUGCGGGAGGGGUAAUCGAUCACACAGGCCAUCUACAUCAACUCCAUUGCCCCUCCGAUGAUACGUGAGUAGUUCACCACAGACCUUCAGGUCCAUAGCUAGUAGCUAGAUGGCUUGUUCUCUCUCUUUGUUCUUCAAUACCAUGUUCUUCAUGAUCUUCAUGGAGAUCUAUCCGAUGUAAUACUCUUGCGGUGUGUUUUGUCGAGAUCCGAUGAAUUGUGGGUUUAUGCUCAGAUUACUUAUGAAUAUUAUUCGAGUCUUUUCUAAAUUUGUAUAUGCAUGAUUUCAUAUCUUUGCAAGUCUCUUCGAGUUAUUGGUUUGGUUUGGCCAACUAGAUUGGUAAUUCUUGCAAUGGGAGAAGUGCUUAGUUUUGAGUUCAGUCUUGCGGUGUCCUCACCAAGUGACAAAGUAGGGGUAGCGAGGCACGUAUUUGUAUUGUUGCUAUCAAGGAUAAAAAAGAUGGGGUUUUCAUCAUAUUGCUUUAAUUUAUCACUCUACAUCAUGUCAUCUUACCUAAUGCAUUACUUUGUUCUUCAUGAACUUAAUACUCCAUAUGCAGGCAGGAGUCGGUCAAUGUGUGGAGUAAUAGUAGUAGAUGCAUAAUUGUUUCGGUCUACUUGAGACGGACGUGAUGCCUAUAUGCAUAAUAAUUGCCUUGGACAUCUUCAUAAUUAUUCGCUUUUCUACCAAUUGCUCGAUAGUGUAAUUUGUUCACCCACCGUAUUAUUUUCCUUCAUGAGAGAAGCCUCUAGUGAAACCUAUGCCCCCCGGGUCUAUUUUCCAUAUUAUACUUUCAUAUCUAUAAACCAAAAAUACCAAAAAUAUCUUGUUGCAAUUUAUUUACUUUUGUUUUACUUUUUGUUUCAACAAUCUUUUAUAUCUAUCUCUAUCAAAUCUCAUCCUUGCAAGUAACCGUGAAGGGAUUGACAACCCCUUUUUAGCAUUGGGUGCAAGUGUUUGAUUGUUUGUGUAGGUGCAAAGAUUGGGACAUUGCUUGUCCCUCCUGCUAGAUUGAUGCCUUGGUUCUCAAUAAACCGAGGGAAAUACUUAUCUACUUUGCUGCAUCACCCUUUCCUCUUCAAGCGAAAACCAACGCAAGCUCAAGAAGUAGCAAGAAGGAUUUCUCGCACCGUUGCUGGGGAAGAUACAUAGCAAGAUCAAGCCUACCAAGUACCCAUCACAAACUCAUCUCUUGCAUUUACAUUACUUGCCUUUUGCCUCUUGUUUUCCUCUCCCCACUUCUAAAACGAUUUUCAGAAAAUACCAAAAAGAUUUGCCUUUUUAUUCGCCCUUCUUCCGCUCGUCUUUUUGUUUUGUUUUUCGUUUGUUCGUUUCCAUGGAUCAACCCAAAAGUUUUGAUCCUUAUCUUAGGAAGUUGGAAGAUAUUGAGAAUAAUGCUAAGGUAUUCAUGUCGCUCCAAUUUGACCAUAAUAGUUUCUUUAGCAACGAGCUUAAAGAACAAAGGUUUAUGUUGGAAUACAUGAAUAAAGAACUUGAUGAUAUGACUAAGGAAUUUUGUGGUUUGAAAUCUCAGUUUGCUCACCUUGAAAAUUUAGUAGGCCAAAUUUAUGAUAAACAAGAUACCUUAGUUAAUAAAAUGGCCGCGAAGCCAGAAUCUUUAAAUAAUGAUGAAGAUCUUAAAGUGAUUGAUGUGACUCCUAUUUAAUAUUUGUUUUCUAAUAUAAAUCUUGAAAUAGAUGGGACUCGAGAUAAGUCAACUUUAGUUAAAAGGCGUCCCAUUGAUUCGGAGUUUAUGGAUCUUAAUGCCAAGAUUGAUAAAAGUGGGAUUGAAGAGGUCAAAACUUUAAAUAGCAAUGAACCAACUCUUUUGGAUUUCAAGGACUUUAAUUAUGAUAGUUUCUCUUUGAUUGAUUGUGUUUCCUUGUUGCAAUCCAUGUUGAAUUCUCCACAUGCUUAUAAUCAAAAUAAAGCUUUUACUAAACAUAUUGUGGAUGCUAUGAUGAAAUCUUUUGAAGAAAAACUUGAGUUGGAAGUUUCUAUACCUAGAAAGCUUUAUGAUGAGUGGGAACCUACUAUUAAGAUUAAAAUUAAAUAUUAUGAGUGACAUGAUUUGUGUGAUUUGGGUGCUAGCGUUUCCAUGAUUCCAAAAACUUUAUGUGAUGUGCUAGGUUUUCGUGAAUUUGAUGAUUGCUCUUUAAAUUUGCAUCUAGCAGAUUCCACCAUUAAGAAACCUGUGGGAAGGAUUAAUGAUGUUCUUAUUGUUGCAAAUAGGAAUUAUGUGCCCGUAGAUUUCAUUGUUCUUGAUAUAGAUUGCAAUCCUACAUGUCCUAUUAUUCUUGGUAGACCUUUCCUUAGAACGAUUGGUGCAAUUAUUGAUAUGAAGGAAGGAACUAUUAGAUUCCAAUUUCCAUUAAGGAAAGGCAUGGAGCACUUUCCUAUAAAGAAAAUAAAAUUACCUUAUGAAUCUAUUAUGAGAGCUACUUAUGGAUUGCAUACCAAAGAUGACAAUACCUAGAUCUAUUGUGUUAUGCCUAGCUAGGGGCAUUAAACAAUAGCGCUUGUUGGGAGCCAACCCAAUUCUAUUUUUAUGUUUCUGAGUGCUGCACACAUUAUUACCUCUGUAGUAAUUGUGUUUUCUUGUUUUAAUUAGUGUUUGAUCCAAGUAAAACUUUUGGGAUGGUCUACGGUGUUUGUGAGUUGAUUUUGCUGAAAACAGAAACUUUUGCUCUCAGUCCAAGAAUUUUGUAAAUUCACUGGAAUGUGUUUUUGAUCUGAAAGUUUCACACAAAAUUGAUAUACAAAUUUCCCUGAUUUUCCUAAGUUUUCAGAAUUUUUGGAGUUAGGAAGUAUUUGAUGUCUAUAGAUUGCUACAUACUGUUCUGAUUUUGGCAGAUUCUCUUUUCUUUGUGUUGUUUGCUUAUUUUGAUGUAUCUAUGGGUUGUACCGGGGGGUAUGAACCAUGGAGAAGUUGGAAUAUACUCCCUCCGUCCCAAAAUAAGUGACUCAAAAAUGACUCAACUUUGCACUAACUUUAGUACAAAGUUGAUUCACUUUUGAGUCACUUACUUUGGGACGGAGGGAUAAUAAAUAUUACACCAAUAUAAAUAAAGAACGAGUUCACAAGAGUACCUAAAGUGGUGAUUUAUUUUUCUUAUACUAACGGAUCUCAUGAGUUUUCUGUUGAGUUUUGUGUUGUGAAGUUUUCAAGUUUUGGGUAAAGAUUUGAUGGACUAUGGAAUAAGGAGUGGCAAGAGCCUAAGCUUGGGGAUGUCCAAGGCCCCCCAAGCCAUAUUCAAGGAUACCAAAGAGCCUAAGCUUGGGGAUUCCCCGGAAGGCAUCCCCUCUUUCGUCUUCAAUCUAUUGGUAAAUUUACUUGAGGCUAUAUUUUUAUUCACCACAUGAUAUGUGUUUUGCUUGGAGAGUCUUGUAUGAUAUGAAUCUUUGCUUCUUAGUUUUACACAAUCAUCCUUCCUGCACACAUCUUUUGAGAGAUACACACUGAAUCAUAAAUUUAUUAGAAUACUCUAUGUGCUUCACUUAUAUCUUUUGAGCUAGGCAAUGUUGCUCUAGUACUUCACUUAUAUCUUUUUAGAGCACGGUGGUGUUUUAUUUUAUAGAAAUUAUUGAACUCCCAUACCUCACUUAUAUUAUUUUGAGAGUCUUUAAACAACAUGGUAAUUGGUUUAGGUUAUGAAUUUAGUCCUAAUAUAAUGGGCAUCCAAGAGGGAUAUAAUAAAAACUUUCAUAUAAAGUGCAUUGAGUACGAUGAGAAGUUUGAUUCCUUGCAUAUACUUUUGAGAUAUGAAGAUGGUAAUAUGAGAGUCAUGCUAGUGAGCAAUUGUGAUUUGGAAGAAAUACUUGUGUUAAAGUUUGUGAUUCCCGUAGCAUGCUCGUAUGGUGAACCGUUAUGUAACGAAGUCGGAGCGUGAUUUGUUUAAUGGUUGUCAACCUUUGUGUGGAGGUCGGGAUCGCGCGAUGGUUAACUCCUACCAACCCCUCCCCUAGGAGCAUGCGUCUAAUACUUUGCUUCGAUAACUAAUAGGCUUUUGCAAUAAGUAUGUGAGUUCUUUAUGACUAAUGUUGAGUCCAUGGAUUAUACGCACUCUCACCCUUCCACCUUUGCUAGCCUCUCUAGUACCACGCAACUUUUGCCGGUGCAUCAAACCCACCUUCCUCAAAACAGCCACCAUAUGAUUUCCUCAAAACAACCACCAUAUCUACCUAUUAUGGCAUUUCCAUAGCCAUUCCGAGAUAUAUUGCCAUGCAACUUCCACCGUUCCUUUUUCUAUGACACACACGAUCACUUCCAUAUUGCAUAUAGAGUCAUAUUUUGUUCUAGGUAUCGAGUUGUAAUUUUUGAGUUGUAAGUAAGUAAAAGUGUGAUGAUUUGCAUUAUUAGAGCAUUGUCCUAUGAGGGAAAAGGAUGAUGGAAGCUAUGACUCUCUCACAAGUUGGGAUGAGUCUCCGGACUUUACAAAAAAUAAAAGAGCCCAGCGAAGCCCAUAAAAAAAGAGGCCAAAGAUGCCCACCAAAAUAAAAUAAAAAAUGAGAGAAAGAGAGAAGGGAUAAUGCUACUAUCUUUUUCCAUGCUUGUGCUUCAAAGUAGCACCAUGUUCUUCAUGAUAGAGAGUCUCCUAUUUUGUCACUUUCAUAUAACUAGUGGAUUUUUUCAUCUUAUGCACAACCACUUAGUUUUCUUCUUGAGCUUUCAUACACUUAUAGCUCUAGUGCAUUUGUUGCAUGGCAAUCUCUACUCACUCACAUUGAUAUCUAUUGAUGGGCAUAUCCAUAGCAAGUUGAUACGCCUAGUUGAUGUGAGACUAUCUUCUCCUUUUUCCUUGCAACCUCCAUCAUAUUCUAUUCCACCUAUAGUGCUAUAUCCAUGGCUCACGCUCAUGUAUUGUGUGAGAGUUGAAAAAGUUUGAGAACAUAAAAGGCGUGAAACAAUUGCUUGACUUGUCAUCGGGGUUGUGCAUGAUUUAGAUACUUUGUGUGGGGAAGAUGGAGCAUAGCCAGACCAUAUGAUUUUGUAGGGAUAACUUUCUAAGGCCAUGUUAUUUCGAAAGGACGCAAUUGCCUUGUUAGUAUGCUUGAAGUAUUACUGUUUUUAUGUCAAUGUUAGACUUUUGUUUUGAAUCUUAUGGAUCUGAAUAUUCAUGCCACAAUAAAUAAUAUUACAUGGAUAAAUAAGUUAGGUAGCAUUCCACAUCAAAAAUUCUGUUUUUAUCAUUUACCUACUCGAGGACGAGCAGGAAUUAAGCUUGGGGAUGCUUGAUACGUUUCCAACGUAUCUAUAAAUUUGCAUGGUUCCAUGCUAUUAUAUUGUCUGUUUUGGAUGUUUUAUAUGCAUCAAUAUGCUAUUUUAUAUUAUUUUUGGGAUUAACCUAUUAAUCUAGAGCCUGGUGCGAGUUUCUGCUUUUCCAUGUUUUUGAGUAUUGAAGAUAAGGAAUAAUAAACCGAGUCCAAACGGAAUAAAAUCUUUGGAAUGAUUUUUCUUGGACUAGAAGCAACCCAAAAAACUUGGAUAUGAAGGCAGGAGAUCCGUCGUGUGGAGACAAGCCACAAGGGCGCGCCCUGGAGGUGCGCCCCUAGCUUCUGACCCCACGACAGCCCUCCUAACCCUAUUCUUCGGCCUAUAAAUUCCCAAAUAUUCCCUGGAUACCAAGGGAGCCACAAAAAUACUUUUCCGCCAUCGGAAGCCUCUAUUCCCGUCAGAUCCAAUCUUGGAGCCUUUUCUGGUAAUCUCCGAGAGGGGAAUCAAUCACGGAGGGCAUCUACAUCAACUCCAUUGCCCCUCCGAUGAUGCGUGAGUAGUUCACCAUAGACCUUCGGGUCCAUAGCUAGUAGCUAGAUGACUUAUUCUCUCUCUUUGUUCUUCAAUACCAUGUUCUUCAUGAUCUUCCUAGAGAUCUAUCUGAUGUAAUACUCUUGCGGUAUGUUUGUCGAGAUCCGAUGGAUUGUGGGUUUAUGCUCAGAUUAUCUAUGAGUAUUAUUUGAGUCUUUUCUGAAUUUCUAUAUGCAUGAGUUCAUCUCUUUGCAAGUCUCUUCGAGUUAUUGGUUUGGUUUGGCCAACUAGAUUGGUAAUUCUUGCAAUGGGAGAAGUGCUUAGUUUUGGGUUCAAUCUUGCAGUGUCCUCACCCAGUGACAAAGUAGGGGUAGCAAGGCACAUAUUUGUAUUGUUGCCAUAGAGGAUAAAAAGAUGGGAUUUUCAUCAUAUUGCUUGAGUUUAUGCCUCUACAUCAUGUCAUCUUACCUAAUGCGUUACUCUGUUCUUCAUGAACUUAAUACUCCACAUGCCGGCAGGAGUCGGUCGAUGUGUGGAGUAAUAGUAGUAGAUGUAGAAUUGUUUCGGUCUACUUGACAGGGACGUGAUGCCUUCUAUCAAUUGCUCGACAGUAAUUUGUUCACCCCCCGUAUUAUUUUCCUUCAUGAGAGAAGCCUCUAGUGAAACCUAUGGCCCCUGGGUCUAGUUUCCAUAUUAUACUUUUAGAUCUAUAAACCAAAAAUACCAAAAAUAUCUUGCUCCAACUUAUUUAUUUUUGUUUACUUUUCCUUUCAGCAAUCUUUUAUCUCUAUCUCUAUCAGAUCUCAUCCUUGCAAGUAAUCGUGAAGGGGUCGACAACCCCUUUUUUGCGUUGGGUGCAAGUGUUUGAUUGUUUGUGUAGGUGCGAAGAUUGGGGCCUUGCUUGUUCCUCCUACUGGAUUGAUACCUUGGUUCUCACCAAACUGAGGGGAAUACUUAUCUACUUUGCUGCAUCACCCUUUCCUCUUCAAGGGAAAACCAACGCAAACUCAAGAAGUAGCAUCUGGCGCUUCGGUUUUGGCGGCUAUAAGAGAGGGAAAACAAAGAGUUUUUGGCUUAUGUCGUCAUUUUCUCACAACAUAUGCCAUAUGUAGGCUUAUCGAGGGUGGUUGGGACCGAAAGGACACCAUGGGGCUCCAGGAACGGGAUUGGUAACUAGCAAUGCAAGACGCAUGAUGUACCCAGGUUCGGGGCUCUCCGUGGGAGAUAAUACCCCUAGUCGUGUCGGAAUCGUUGAUGAACCAAAGUGUUUACAGGAUGCUCCUUGAGGUAUUCGAUGGAGGAGGAAGAAGGAGCAGUCGGCUCGUAAUCUACCUCUCCUUUGUGGGGUGUGUGUGAUAAUGGCCGACCCUCUGCAUGGAGGGGGCGGGAGUUUUUAUAGUCGAACCCACCGGCCUACAAAAUGGAUAUUAGGUACAUUAUGGGGGACCCGGCUGGCAGCCUCUCAGGACAGUUAGGGGGCCCACUGAGGUUUAGUUUUGUCACUUGAGGGGCCCACAAUUGCUAGGUCCCAUAUGGCCCUGGGACCCGCCGGCUAGCCUAUGGGAUUGGUGUGUGCUCCCCAUGCAGGACGCGUGCGGUACGACAGACAUUGUCUAGCGGGAUCCGGCACCGCUCAGCGGUACGGCCGCCUCCAUUGUAGCCACGCCGGGCCAGGUAAUGGAGUGGGUUGUGGUGCGCGGGUACUAUGCAUGGUUGACGGAUCGGAGCAGGCGUCGGUCAGCGGUACGGCUACCACCACUGUAGCCAUGCGUGCGCUUCGCCAUCGUACUUGUGCUGAGGUACCUUCACCUUUAAUCGAGGACCCCCGUCACAUCCUGGGGAUUGAUGCGAUAGGUGCCCUUCAGCCUGCGGCUCGGCCAACCGGCCAAAGGGUAGAUGGCUACACUCCUAGCUGGUAGUUGAGGAAACUUUUGCUCCUUUCUAUAACAAAGUAUAGGGGAGUAGGCUUGAUGAGCCUACCCCGGGUUAUCCCCCCGUUAGUAGUCCUCGAAGCAGGGGAGGUCCACCGUCUCGAGGCGAAGGGCCUCGCCAGCUUGAGUAUCCGGCUCGCGGGCCUUGAGAGCCGCAUCGUGUGAGCCCGGUGUGGGAGACGAUCGGACCGGGAGCCGGCUGGCUUUCGGCGGAUGCCACGGCUUGUUCGCUCGGAGCAUUGGUGCAUGACGUGUCGGGCUUUGGCGCCACGCCCUGACAAGCCACGCGCAUGACGGGACUGGGCCCGCAUCAUGGGGCCCGCCACGCCGCGCCCUCGGCCCGCGCGCGGGGAUCCUUUGUGGAUACGUGGCGACGGUUGGUAUUUUGGAGCACAUUAAUGCUCCCGCAUAAUCUGGAGGGGGUGGGAAUCGUGCGCACCGGAUCCCCUCCACAUGAUCUAUUCUGUGGUUUAAAUGGGCGGGCAGGGGUGCCGAAGAGGCCAUUUGUCCCCGCCCUGCUCCGCUCGAGCGCUCCCUCCCUCCUAGAGCAAGAGAGAGAGAGAGAGAGAGACACCAUUCGCGUCUUCGCUGCCGUUCGCCGCUGGAGCCUCGUGGCUUCCUUAGAUCUUUUCGCCGCUGCUCUGCCAUGUCCCAAGACAUCGUUGAGAAGGCGAAAGCCCGGGGCGCCUGGGAAGGCAGCAUCGUCAUCGAUGGGCACACUGAGGUGCUCCGCCAAUGCCAAUGCUGCCAUCGGAGGAACUCGUCACGGCGCGCCUCCCUGACGCCGAAGGAUCUCCGACCCCUCGUGAAGGAGAAGUGGUGGUCUUCAAUGAGCACUUCUUCUGUGGGUUCGGGCUUCCAGCAAGCGACUUCUUCUCGCGCUUCCUGGUACACUUCGUCCUGCAGCCGCACCACCUCACGCCGAACGCCAUCCUCCAGUUGGCAGCCUUCGUCACCCUGUGCGAGGGAUUCAUGGGGAUUGAACCCCGAUUGGACCUAUGGCGCCAACUGUUUUUCUUCAAGCAACACUCGGCACCGACCGAUGUUCCCGGCAUCAUGAAGAUGACCCCUUGCAGCGUCUCCCUUGUUCAUCACCAGUCUGCUUCCGGCUUCCCGAAGCUUCCUCUCCAGGACUCGGUGAAGAAGUGGCAGAGGGGAUUCUUCUAUGUGAAGAAUGUGAAUCCCCUCAACGACUACAGCAACCUGCCCCCUCUCUCCAUCGCUCCGUCGACUGCGAAGCUGAACUGGAAGAGCUCCCUUCCGAAGCCGAUCCCGGAGGUGAAGCAGAUUUGCACCCACCUGAAGAUUUUGAAGGCUCGAGGCCUUCUGGCCGAAGAUUUUCUUGCCACCAUGGUGGCACGCCAGAUUCUGUCUCUGCAGCGCCGACCGAACUUGAUUUGACAGAUGAGUGGCUGACAUGAUCCAUGCCGGCUCUGGACGAAGAACCCGCGAGCUGGUAGGGUAACACAGCAGGUGAACUUGAUCUCCUCCGCCUCCAUGGAUGACAGCGGUGAAUGGGAGUGGGGUAUGGCCCCUUACGAUCGAAACCAUCCAGCUCCGACGGUAUGCUUCUUCAUUGAUAAUGUUUCUUAUUUUUCUUUGGAUACCAUCCGGCUUCUGACGCUGGACGUCGGCUAUGUCCUCAGCUAUUCAAGCGUCUGCAAGUCUACCAACAGUCGCCUGCCGACGUGGAGGUGUCGGACCCCGCCGAGAUCGAGGACGAGGACGACGUGGAGCCUCAACCAUCGGCAUCCGAAGAAGUUGAGGGGGUGGCGGAGUCGGAGGGAACCGAGCCGGGCGGUGAGUUUUUCGCAUCUGGAUUGCUUGACUGGAUAGACGAUGACGAGGUGUUGCCUCCAUUACGCGAUGCAGUCGACGUGGAAGGCCUGGAAGAGCUAGAGGAGGUCUUUGACCCUCCCAUGACACGACAACGUCGAGCCGCCUGCGAGCCGGCUGUGGAAGGCGAAGGAGCGCGACGAAAAGGCAAGUAGGCCGUUACCGCCAAGACGACCUCUAAAUGAACCGUGGCAGGGCCUCCGGUUGGAGGUCGCGGGGGCGGCUCAAAGAAGCAGCGAGUUGGCCCGGCCGUCGUCGGUAGACGGCCAGUUCCCAUCAUCGUUGGGUAAGUAAUCGCAUUCCUCUUUUCUUCCCCCUUUCUUGAUUCCUUGGUAGGAAAUCCCACCUUAUCGAUUUAUGGUAAGCAGGGACGUCCAAACGGCGGAGGAGGAUGACGCCACCGCUGCAGAGCAAGCCGCCUGGGCCGAUGCUGAUGCCGCCAAGAAGGCGCCGAUUGAGCAGGAGAACCGUCCAUGGGAGGAGGCGGCCCGAAAGGCAGCUGGGAACCGAGACCAACCCGGCAAGCGCGCAGCCGGCCCUACUCAGAAGCCAGCUACCAAAGAGAGGCGAUCCGAAACGAAGCAUGAUCCCACUUCAUGGGCGAAUGUGGAGGCCCAGACCAGUGAGCCGGCUCGUGCUGGAGCAAGCACGGCCGAGACCACCAAGGCCAUCGGGCCAGGGUCUACCUCUGCACGGGUGGAUCUUGAUACGACGCCCGACGCAUCUGACGCCGGAACAGACACCGCACCGGAGGCGCCGAAGGAUGCGUCGGGUGCGGAGAUCCCACCACCCAACACGGAGAUGGCCUUGGUGGUGAAGGACAAGACCGCGCGGACCGAGGGUCCGCAGGCGCCUCGUCAGGCUGAUGCAUCGAAGGAGCUGACCCAAAGUGCGCCGCGAGGAGACGGCACCAUGGUCGCGUCCGGCCGCGGCCCGUCCGCCUCUGGAGCCGGCCCCCUCUCCGGGAGCCGGCCCAUAGAGUCCUGGAGCAUGGCCAAGGCAAGCCACGCGACCUUGCCUCCUGGCGCCACGCUAAGUGGGGUCCCUGCGCUUGUGGCGGCGUAUUCCCGCAGCCAUGACAAGGUGGCGCAGGCGGCCCUGGUUGCCCGGGAAGACCUGAACCGCCUCGAGGAAUGGACUGCGGUAUGUUUUUAAUUCCCGCACCUUCCAGUCAAGAUUUUUCUUCUUCUUCUUCUUUUCUUCAAUGGGGGCGUGCCGGUGCACCCACUAGGUGUAUCCCCCAAGAGUCAGGCCGGCUGAGAGUUAGCCGGGCCGAGUCUUACUCGCGGCGGCUUGUUUUCUUCUUUCCCUUUCAGUGGUGGCGCGCAAGUGCACCCACUGGGUGUAGCCCCCGAGAAUCGGGUCGGUUGGUAAUACGCCGGGCCGAAUCUUAUUCUUGAUUUGUUUUGCUUCUUUUCACCGUAGGAUCUCCACAAUAGCCAAGCGCAAGCUCAUAACACGUUGCUGGCUCGGCUCCAAGACGCCUAGAGGCAGACCAGUGACCUUCAAGGCCGGAUGGACCAAGCCAUCACGGAGCGCGAUGCCUUGCAUGGCGAAGAUGGACGGCUGCGUCAGGAGGUGGAACUUCUCCAGACGGAGAAGAAGGACCGCGAGGCGGCCCAUCAGACGAAGUCGGGGCAGCCACGUGUCGCCCACAACGAUGCCCUAAUGCAGAAGGACGCCUCCCACGCCGCCGACAUGGAGCGUUUGGAGAUGCCGCACCUUGAUGAGAAUGCGCAGCAGGAUGCCGCCCUGAAGGACGUGACGGCCCAAUUAGCGAGGGAGAUCGAGGCGGCACAUGUCUUUCGGGGCAAGAUCACCCACCUGGCUCAGGAGCGCGUGUCGGGACCGCGAUGCUCUAGAGGAGGUGGGCGAGGUCGACAUUCUCCUCAACCGUGAGCCAUCCUUGCUUUGUCUUGUCUUUUUCUCGUUGUUAGCUUCUCUUUUCUCUUUUUCUCACGCCACGCCCCCGCCCCUGCUCUCCAGAACUCUUCCCAGGGACACGGGAUGUGGCAAACGCAGUUGCGAAGGCCAAUCGCGACGAGCGACGUGCUACCGGCGUCGAGGUGGACGCCACUAUCAGUUGGACCAUGGAGGAGGUGGCCCUUGGCGCCAGGGCCCGCAUGCGGGAGCUGGCGCUGUCUUUGACCCGACUCCAGGACGCUGGGCUGGCGAUGGUGAAGGCCCUCUGGUUGGAUACGAUGGAGCCGGCGUCGAUGAGCCGGCUGUCCUACUGGCUUGAGGCGGGAAGCUCUCGCCUGGAUGCCUGGCGUGUGUCGGCUGCACGAACUGGGGCGUACAUGGCGCUUCGCCUUGCCAAGUCAUGGUAUGAAAACCUAAACUUGGGCCUGCUCGCAGCACAACACGCUGGCAUGGAAGUGGAGCUCGCAGCCGUCGAAGACGAGCUGCAGGUGCGGGCCAAUGACAUUGCCUCCUUCGCCGCAUGGAACGAAUAUAGCCUAGAGCCGGAGGCUGACGGCAACGUGACCCCUGAGGAUCAAUUCCAGCUGGCCCUUUACAACGCCGAUGGCAGCUCCGAUGGGACGACAUUUGAGGACGCCGACUCCAGCGACGAGGCCUAUGUCGACUCCGCCGCGAGGGGCGGUGCCGAAGGCGCUCAGGCGGAUGACGGUGCCUCUACCUCAGGCAGAGCUGGCGAUGUCGGCGCCUCCUCCUCAGGUGCCGCUAGUGAUGCUGGAGCCAUGGGUGGAGCUGCCACCAACUGAAGCUUUUUUAAUUUUCUGCAUGUCUUUUGUUAGUCCAGCAGUUCCACCCACUUGGGGUGUUAUGUAAUGAACUCCGAGCGUGGGCCUUUACAUACUUUUGAAUGCAAUAUAUGUUUGUCUAUUUGCAUUGUGCCUGUGAAGGUUGUGCUUGCCGGCUCGCUUUUCUGUCUUUUGUUUCCCUUUGCCUUCCGUCUAUCCAACAGCUUGCCUCCUCCAGCAUCCACCCCACCAGUCCGACAGUCGGGAGCCGAUCUGUGACUGGGAUGGGGCUUCUGCCUUUUAAGGCGUCAACCUCGGAUUUUUUGAAGCCGCAGAGAUACUUAGAUUUGGAGCGAGUCAGCAGAGGCUGGCUAGAAAUGAAGAUCAGAAGCGAUCAAACCAUCCCGAGCUGGCGACCCCUUCGUAGUUGAAAUUUUCGUGUUGCCGGCCAUCCUUCCCAUCGCAUCGUUAGCCGGACAGCCGGGAGCCAGUCUGUAGGUUGCGCGGGGUGGUAAGGGUUUCGGCUCGACGUGCAUUAUAUAUUCGACUACGACUAGGAAGUUAGCUCGGGCCGGCCAGCGAGCCCCUGAGCCCGAGGAGUCGGACCAGAGAACCCACUCUUGUAAUGAUAACUUUUUUCAUGAACUCAAAAAAGGUAUGCCCCAAGUACUGGCUUGGAGCACCCAUUGCAUUCAUUGAAAUUCUGAAAAGGGUAAAGGAUACAUACGUACACGUUUCUCUCUCUUGUUCUAGCAGUAGAAUGGGCGAAGCAAUGCCGCGUUCCAUGGACGCUCCAUUUCUUCAUCGGAGUCGUCUCUCUUGCGCUUCUGUGGCUUCUAGGCGUCUAUUAGAGAGUACGCAUUGUUGUGCAAUGCCCUGAUGAUGAUGAAAGGUCCCUCCCAUGGGGAAGAGAGCUUGUGAUGGCCGGCUCUUCAGUGUAUUCUUCUAAGUACCAGGUCCCCCUCCCGAAAGGAGAGAGGCCUGAUCUUCUUGAUGUGGUAGUGUCUCAGCUUCUGCUGGUAGAUGGUCGUCCGGCUCAGAGCCAGCUCCCGUGCCUCCUCUAGUAGAUCGACACCGUCUUCUCUUGCCUCUCUUGCAUCCGCCUCCGUGUAAAGGGUGGCACGAGGCGAGUCGAACUCGACAUCUGCAGGGAUGAUUGCCUGUGACCCAUAUACAAGGAAGAAUGGUGUCAAGCCAGUUGACCGGUUCGGCAUGGUGCGGAGGCUCCAUAGCAUAACCGACAACUCUUCGAUCCAGCAGCCGGCUGACCUGACGAGCGGCGCCACGAGUCUUGGCUUGAUGCCAGCCAAGAUUAGGUCGUUUUCCCUUUCUUGUCGGUCGUUUGACUGCGGGUAAGCCACUGACGCCAGAUCGAGUCAGAUGCCCUCUUUGGCACAGAAGAGUGAUACGUCCAUUUUGCAUCAUGCUUUCAUGUUGAUAUUUAUCGCUUUAUGGGCUGUUAUUACACUUCACGGUACAAUACUUAUGCCUUUUCUCUCUUAUUUUGCAAGGUUUACAUGAAGAGGGAGAAUGCCGACAGCUGGAAUUCUGGCCUGAAAAAGGAGCAACUUUGAGAUACCUAUUCUGCGCAACUCCAAAAUCCGUGAAAAUCAAUGAGGAUUUAUUUUGGAAUUUAUAAAAAAUACUGGGCCGAAGAAGUACCAGAGGGGAGCCAGCAGGAGGCCACAAGCCUGCUAGGCGCGGCCUCCACCUGUUCGCGCCUAGGGGGCUUGUGGGCUCCCUGUUGGCCCUCUGCCCCCCCUCUUUUGCUAUAAGGAGGGUUUCGUUCCAAAAAAAUCAAGAUGAGGCUUUCGGGAGGAAUCGUCGCCGCCACGAGGCGGAACUUGAGCAAAACCAACCUAGAGCUCCGGGAGGGUCAUCGUGCCGGGGAAACUUCCCUCCCGGAGGGGGAAAUCAUUGCCAUCGUCAUCACCAACACUCCUCUCGCCGGAGGGGACUCGUCACCAUCAACAUCUUCAUCAGCACCAUCUCAUCUCCAAACCCUAGUUCAUCUCUUGUAACCAAUCUCCGUCUCAUGACUCCGAUUGGUAUCUCUAAGGUUGCUAGUAGUGUUGAUUACUCUUUGUAGUUGGUGCUAGUUGGAUUACUCGGUGGAAGAUUAUAUGUUCAAAUCCUUGAUGCUAUUCAAUACCUCUCUGGUCAUGAACAUAAUUAUGCUUUGUGAGUAGUUACUUUUGUUCCUGAGGACAUGGGAUAAGUCAUGCUAUAAGUAGUCAUGUGAAUCUGGUAUUCGUUCGAUAUUUUGAUGUGUGGUAUGUUGUUUUUCCGCUAGUGGUGUUAUGUGAACGUCGACUACAUAACACUUCACCAUUAGUUGGGCCUAGAGGAAGGCAUUGGGAAGUAGUAAGUAGAUGAUGGGUUGCUAGAGUGACAAAAGCUUAAACCCUAGUUUAUGCAUUGCUUCGUAAGGGGCUGAUUUGGAUCCACUAGUUUAAUGCUAUGGUUAGAGUUGGCUUAAUUCUUCUUUCAUAGUUUCGGAUGCUUGCGAGAGGGGUUAAUCAUAAGUGGGAUGCUUGUCCAAGUAAGGGCAGUACCCAAGCACCGGUCCACCCACAUAUCAAACUAUCAAAGUACCGAACGCGAAUCAUAUGAACUUGAUGAAUACUAGCUUGACAGAAAUUCCCAUGUGUCCUCGGGAGUGCUUUACUUCCUAUAAGAGUUUCUCGAGGCUUGUCCCUUGCUGCAAAAGGGAUUGGGCCACUUUGCUGCCUCGUUGUUACUGUUGUCACUUGCUACUUGCUACGAAUCAUCUUACCACACAUAUAUCUGUUACCGAUAAUUUCAGUGCUUGCAUAGAUUACCUUGCUGAAAACCACUUGUCAGAUCCUUCUGCUCCUCGUUGGGUUCGACACUCUUACUUAUCGAAAAGGCUACGAUAGAUCCCCUAUACUUGCGGGUCAUAAAGAUUCUUUUCUGGCGCCGUUGCCACGGAGUGAAGCGCGUUUGGUAAGUGGAAUUUGGUAAGGAAACAUUUAUAUAGUGUGAUGAAAUUUAUUGUCACUUGUCACUAUGGAAACUAAUUAUUUGUGGAGCUUGUUUGGGGUAUCUUCACCUCAAACGGAAUCACAUGGAGUUGCUCCUCAACCUGCUUCACAUACUGAAAAUAUUUGCUAUGAAUUUGCUUCGGGUAUGCUUGAGAAACUGCUGGCUAAUCCUUUUAUAGGAGAUGGAAAAUCACAUCCCGACUUGGAUCUAAUCCAUGCAGAUGAAGUUUUUGGUUUAUUUAAGCUUGCAGGUUUGCCCGAGGAUGAGGUCAAGAAGAAGGUCUUUCCCUUAUCUUUGAGGGAUAAAUCAUUGACAUGGUAUAAGCUAUGUGAUGAUACUGGAUCAUGGAACUACAACCGGUUGAAAUUGGAAUUUCAUCAAAAGUUUUAUCCUAUGCAUCUAGUACAUCGUGAUCGGAAUUAUAUUUAUAAUUUUUGGCCUCGUGACAGAAAAAGCAUCGCUCAAGCUUGGGUGAGGCUUAAAUCAAUGUUAUAUUCAUGCCCCAACCAUGAGCUCUCGAGAGAAAUUAUCAUUCAGAACUUCUAUGCUCGGCUUUCUCAUGAUGAUCGCACCAUGCUUGACACUUCUUGUACCGGUUCUUUUAUGAAGAGAGAUAUUGACUUCAAAUGGAAUUUAUUGGAAAGAAUUAAACGCAACUCUGAAGAUUGGGAGUUUGAUGAAGGUAAGGAGUCAAGUAUGACUCUCAAGUUUGAUUGCGUUAAAUCCUUUCCUGAAACAAAUACUUUUUGUGAUUUUAGCGCUAAAUAUGGACUUGACUCUGAGAUAGUAGCUUCAUUGUGUGAAUCAUUUGCUGCUCAUAUUGAUCUCCCGAAAGAGAAGUGGUUUAAAUAUCAUCCCCCCUUAGAAGUCAAUGUAGUUAGACCCAAUCCAGUUGAAGAGAAAGUCAUUGCUUAUAAUGAUUCUAUUGUUCCCAGUGCUUACAUUGAGAAACCACCUUUCCCUGUUAGGAUAAAGGAUCAUUCUAAAGCUUCAACUGUGAUACGUAGGAGCUACAUUAGAACACCUACACCCCCUGAGCAAAUUAGAGUUGAACCUAGCAUUGCUAUUAUCAAAGAUUUCCUAUCCGACAAUGUUGAUGGCCAUGAUAUUCACUUUUGUGAAGAUGCUGCUAGAAUUGCUAAACCUCACGCUAGAGACAAACAUAGGCCUGUUGUUGGCACGCCUGUUGUUUCUGUUAAGAUAGGAGAUCAUUGUUAUCAUGGUUUAUGUGACGUGGGUGCUAGUGUUAGUGCAAUACCUCAAUCCUUAUAUGAUGAAAUUAAAGACGAGAUUGCACCUGUUGAGAUGGAACCUAAUGAUGUCACUAUUCAGCCUGCCAAUAGAGAUACUAUCUACCCUGUGGGAAUUGUUAGAGAUGUUGAAGUCUCGUGUGGUAAAACGAAGUAUCCUGCUAUUUCAUGUUCUUGAUACCACACAAGAUAGCUUUUGUCCCAUCAUAUUUGGCAGACCUUUCCUCAAUACUGUCAAUGCUCAUAUUGACCGUGAGAAGCAAACUGUCACUGUUGGCUUUGAAGGUGUGUCACAUGAUUUCAAUUUCUCCAAGUUUGGUAGACAACCUCAUGAAAAAGAGUUGCCUAGUAUGGAUGAAAUUAUUGCCCUAGCUUCUAUUGUCGUGCCUCCUACUGAUCCUUUAGAGCAAUACUAGCUUGAGCAUGAAAAUGAUAUGCAUAUGGAUGAAAGGGAUGAGAUAGAUAGAGUUAUCUUUGAACAAUAUCCUAUCCUUAAGAAUAAUUUGCCUGUUGAACUGCUUGGAGAUCCACCCCCACCAAAGGGUGAUCUUGUGUUCGAGCUUAAACAGUUGCCUGAUACUCUUAGGUAUGCUUAUCUCGAUGAAAAAGAGAUACAUCAUGUUAUUAUUAGUGCUAGCCUCUCAGAGCAUGAGGAAAAUAAGUUACUAAAAACUCUGAGGAAGCACCGUGCUGCUAUUGGAUAUACUCUUGAUGAUCUUAAGGGCAUUAGUCCCACUCUAUGCCAACACAAGAUUAAAACAGAUCCUGAUUCCAAACCAGUUGCCGAUCAUCAACGGAGAUUAAAUCCUAAGAUGAAAGAGGUAGUAAUAAAAGAAAUACUAAAGCUCCUGGAACCAGGUAUUAUCUAUCCUGUUGCUCAUAGUGAUUGGGUAAGUCUGGUGCAUUGCGUCCCUAAGAAGGGAGGUAUUACCGUUGUCCCUAAUGAUAAGGAUGAAUUGAUCCCUCAGAGGAUUAUUACUGGCUAUAGGAUGGUGAUUGAUUUUAGGAAAUUGAAUAAAGCCACUAGGAAAGAUCAUUACCUUUGCAUUUUAUCAACCAAAUGCUAGAAAGUCUGUCUAAACAUGCACACUUCUGCUUUCUAGAUGGUUAUUAUGGUAUCUCCCAAAUACCAGUUGCACAAUCUGAUCAGGAGAAAACCACUUUCACCUGCCCUUUCGGUACCUUUGCUUACAGACGUAUGCCUUUUGGCUUAUGUAAUGCACGUGCUACCUUUCAAAGAUGUAUGAUGGCUAUAUUCUCUGACUUUUGUGAAAAGAUUGUUGAGGUUUUCAUGGAUGACUUCUCUGUUUACGGGUCUUAUUUUGAUGAGUGCCUCAGCAACCUUGAUCGAGUCUUGCAGAGAUGUAAAGAUACCAAUCUUGUCUUGAAUUGGGAGAAGUGCCAUUUUAUGGUUAAUGAAGGCAUCCUCUUAGGACAUAAAUUUUUUGAAAGAGGUAUUGAAGUCGAUAAGGCUAAGGUAUUGAAAGAGGCAUUGAAGUUGAUAAGGCUAAGGUUGAUGCAAUUGACAAAAUGCCUUGCCCCACAGAUAUCAAAGGUAUAAGAAGUUUCCUUGGUCAUGCUGGUUUCUAUAGAAGGUUCAUUAAAGACUUAUCUAAGAUUUCUAGGCCUGUUACCAAUCUCUUGCAAAAGGAUAUUCCUUUUGUUUUUGAUGAUGAUUGUGAGGAAGCCUUCGAAAUACUUAAGAAGGCCUUGAUAACUGCGCCUAUUGUUCAAUCACCUGAUUGGAGCUUACCUUUUGAAAUCAUGUGUGAUGCUAGUGAUUAUGCUGUUGGCGCUGUUCUAGGACAAAGAGUUGAUAAGAAGUUGAAUGUUAUUCACUAUGCUAGUAAAACUCUAGACAGUGCCCAAAGAAACUAUGCUACUACGGAAAAGGAAUUUUUAGCAGUCGUGUUUGCAUGUGAAAAGUUUAGAUCUUACAUAGUUGAUUCCAAAGUCACUAUUCACAUUGAUCAUGCUGCUAUUAAGUACCUCAUGAAAAGAAAGACGCUAAACCUAGACUUAUCAGAUGGGUUCUCUUGCUACAAGAAUUUGAUUUGCAUGUUGUUGAUAGGAAGGGUGCUGAUAACCGAGUAGCAGAUAACUUGUCUAGGUUGGAGAAUGUUCUUGAUGACCCACAACCUAUUGAUGAUAGCUUUCCUGAUGAGCAAUUGAAUGUCAUCAAUACUUCACGUAGUACACCGUGGUAUGCUGAUUAUGAAAAUUAUAUGAUUGCCAAAUAUAUACCACCUAGUUUCACAUACCAGCAAAAGAAGAAAUUGUUCUUUGAUUUGACACGUUACUUUUGGGAUGAUCCUCACCUUUAUAAAGGAGUAGAUGGUGUUAUUAGACAUUGUGUACGCGAGCAAGACUAGGGACAGAUCCUACAGAAGUGUCACUCCGAGGCUUACGGAGGACACCAUGCGGGAGAUAGAACUGCACACAAGGUAUUGCAAUCAGGUUUCUAUUGGCCCACUCUCUUCAAGGAUGCCCGUAAGUUUGUCUUGUCUUGUGACGAAUGUCAAAGAAUAGGUAAUAUCAGUAAACGUCAGGAAAUGCCUAUGAAUUAUUUACUUGUCAUUGAACCAUUUGAUGUCUGGGGUUUUGAUUAUAUGGGACCUUUUCGAAAAUCCAACGGGUAUACUCAUAUCCUAGUUGCUGUUGAUUACGUUACUAAGUGGGUAGAAGCUAUCCCGACUAGUAGUGCUGAUCACAACACCUCUAUCAGGAUGCUUAAAGAAGUUACUUUCCCUAGAUUUGGAGUCCCUAGAUAUCUAAUGACCGACGGUGGUUCACAUUUCAUUCAUGGUGCUUUCCAUAAAACGCUUGCUAAGUACGAUGUCAAUCAUAUAAUUGCAUCUCCCUAUCACCCUCGAUCUAGUGGUCAAGUAGAGCUAAGUAAUAGAGAGAUUAGACAAAUUCUGCAAAAGACUAUCAAUAGGUCUAGAAAGAAUUGGUCUAAGAAGCUCGAUGAUGCACCGUGGGCUUAUUGAACUGCUUAUAAGAAUCCCAUGGGCAUGUCUCAGUACAAAAUGGUUUGCAGUAAAGCAUGUCAUUUACCUCUUGAGCUAGAGCAUAAGGCUUAUUGGGAAAUCAAAGAGCUCAACUUUGAUUUCAAACUUGCCGGUGAGAAGAGGUUAUUUGAUAUUAGCUCACUUGAUGAAUGGAGAACUUAGGCAUAUGAGAAUGCCAAGUUGUUCAAAGAAAAGGUCAAGAGGUGGCAUGAUAAAAGGAUAGAGAAACGUGAGUUCAAUGUAGGUGAUUAUGUCUUGCUAUAUAAUUCUCGUUUAAGAUUUUUUGCAAGCAAACUUCUCUCUAAAUGGGAAGGUCCUUACAUUGUCGAGGAAGUAUAUCAUUUCGGUGCCAUCAAGAUCAACAACACGGAAGGUAAUUUUCCGAGAGUGGUAAAUGGGCAAAGAAUCAAGCAUUAUAUCUGAGGUACUCCCAUAAAUGUUGAAAGCAAUAUUAUCAAUACCAUAACUCCAGAGGAGUACAUAAGGGAUAUUUAUCAGCCUGUUUCAGACUCUGAAAACGAAGAGGUAUGUCAUUCAGUAAGUAAACCGACUCCAAAACUUUUCCAGUAGGAAUUUUUCUCCGUUUUGGAAUUUUUGAAAAAAUAGAAAAAUUUAAAGCAGUCCAGAAAGCGCACGAGGAGGCGACAAGCCUGCGAGGCGCGGGCCACCCCCUAGCCGCGCCUGGGGGGCUUGUGACCACCUCGUGUGCCUCCCGGACUCCGUUUUAUUGUGGAGUACUCCUUCUGGUCGGAAAAAAAUCGUUAUAUAUUCUCCCGUAAGGUCUGACCCUUGUAUCACGCAAUUUUCCCUCUGUUUUUGUUUCGAGACUGUUUCUGUUGCAGAUUUAGAGCAAGAUGUCGUCUCCGGAAUCUGUAGGGGAGAACGAUCUCCCCCAAGUCUAUGAAGAAGUAAAUGCUGAUCUGAAAAGAAUGGAGGUCAUGGAGGCAAAGGAAAGCUACCUAAAGAAACCAAGGGCAAAAGUAAGGAGAAGAAUCCGGCGUUGGACGAAGGGGAAUCUGUGCUCAACAAGGAAGAAGCUGAGGAAGAAGAUUUUCUUCAACCCUACCUCCACCUUUUACCUCCAUCCUUGAUCGAGCUCUUGAGGUUAUGUGGAAUAACUCGUGUUCGUAAUACUUAUCUCACUCCUGAAGUUGUUUUGCUGGAGAAACAUAUCAUAGAGCUCCAAGGUAUAAAUCAAAGAUUUAUGGCCCUCUUGGAAUCAAAAGACAAGACAGCUCCAUCACCAUCAUCUCCAAAGGAAGACAACUAAGCAUGCGUAUGGGCAAUCCCCUUGGCUUGUGCCAAGCUUGGGGGACUUGCCCCGAUAUCGUAUCACCCUCACAUCUUUUGCCUUUACCUUUUCUUAGUUCAAUCCUUUUUGGUUUUAUCUUUCUCUAGUAGAAUAAAGUUCUUAGUGUUUUAGGCUUGACUUUUGCUUGUGUCACCCCCGAUGUAUUCGAGCUCGUGAGCCAUAUAAUAAAGAGUGUAUUAGUUAAGGGCCUUGCUUCAUGCCAUGAUCUAAAGAAAAGAAUGAUAAAAGAACAAAAGCAUGAAAGAUCAUGUAAUGAUCUUAUGAGAAGUGAUAGCUUCAUAUAUAAAAAGAAUGACGAUUGAAACUUGUUGAGGGUGGGCAAACAUAGACCUUGGUCAUUGUUGCAAUUAAUAGGAAGUGAUAAAGAAAGAGAGGUUCACAUAUAAAUAUAUCAUCUUGGACACCAUUUAUGAUUGUGAACACUCACUAAACUAUUGCAUGCUUAUAAGUAGAUGUUGGACAAGGAAGACAACAUAAUGAAUUAUGCCUGCUUGGUUCCGAACAAUGAUUAUAUGACUAGAGAUCCCUUAGCAUGUGACGAUUGCUUCCACCUCAUAUCAGCCAAAACUCCCGCACCAAGUAGAGAUACUACUUGUGCCUCCAUAAAAUUUAACCCAGUUUUGCCAUGAGAGUCCACCAUACCUACCUAAUAUUGAAUAAGAUCCCUCAAGUAAGUUUUCAUCGCUGCAAGCAAUAAAAAUUGCUCCCUAAAUAUGUAUGAUCUAUUAGUGUGUGGAAAAUAAGCUUUGUACGAACCUGUGGUGAGGAAGACAUAAAAGCGACAUACUGCAUAAUAAAGUUCUUUAUCACAGGAGGCACUAUAAAGGGAUAUUUCUUCACACUAAGAGGACACACAUCCAAACCUCAAAAGCACAUGACAACCUCUGCUUCCCUCUAUGAAGGGCCUAUCUUGUAACUUUACUUUUUGCCCUUGAAAGAGUCAUGGUGAUCUACACCAAUUCCUUAUUUCGCCUUUAUCUUGGCUAACGUCAUAUGCUAGGGAAAGAUCUAUAUCCAUUGUAGACUAACGUCAUAUGCUUGGGAAAGAUCUAUAUUCAUAUGUCAACUUGGAGGUAAGUAUUCAUGAAUUAUUAUUGUUGACAUUACCCUUGAGGUAAAUGGUUGGGAGGAAAAAAUAUAAGCCCCUAUCUUUCUCUGUGUCCGACUGAAAUUUUGAUCUCAUGAGUACCAUGUGAGUUGUAGCAAUUGUAGAAGAUGAAAGGAUGAUUGAGUAUGUGGAUUUUCUUUACAAGCUCUUACUUGACUCUUUGCGAUGUUAUGAUAAAUUGCAAUUGCUUCAAUGACUAAAGGCUAUUGGUUGUUAAUUCUCAAUAAGGCUCUUGAUCCUUACUGUACUUUGUGAAGGAAUUGUCACUUUAGCAUGAGAGAUUAUAUGAUGAUAUUGCUAUUCUGAUAAUGAUCAUGAUGCCUGCAUGUCCAUAUCUUGUUUUGUCGACACCCCUCUCUCUAAACAUGUGGGCAUAUUUAUUGAUCUUGGCUUUCGCUUGAGGACAAGCGAGGUCUCAACUUGGGGGAGUUGAUACGUCCAUUUUGCAUCAUGCUUUCAUGUUGAUAUUUAUCGCUUAAUGGGCUGUUAUUACACUUCACGGUACAAUACUUAUGCCUUUUCUCUCUUAUUUUGCAAGGUUUACAUGAAGAGGGAGAAUGCCGGCAGCUGGAAUUCUGGCCUGAAAAAGGAGCAAGUUUGAGAUACCUAUUCUGCGCAACUCCAAAAGCCGUGAAAAUCAACGAGGAUUUAUUUUGGAAUUUAUAAAAAAUACUGGACCGAAGAAGUACCACAGGGGAGCCAGCAUGAGGCCACAAGCCUGCUAGGCGCGAGCUCCCCCUGGCCGCGCCUAGGGGGCUUGUGGGCUCCCUGUUGGCCCUCUGGCCCCCCUCUUUUGCUAUAAGGAGGGUUUCGUUCCAAAAAAAAAUCAAGAGGAGGAUUUCGGGAGGAAUCGCCGCCGCCACGAGGCGGAACUUGAGCACAACCAAUCUAGAGCUCCGGCAGGGUCGUCGUGCCGGGGAAACUUCCCUCCCGGAGGGGGAAAUCGUCGCCAUCGUCAUCACCAACACUCCUCUCGUCGGAGGGGACUCGUCACCAUCAACAUCUUCAUCAGCACCAUCUCAUCUCCAAACCCUAGUUCAUCUCUUGUAACCAAUCUCCGUCUCGCGACUCCGAUUGGUACCUGUAAGGUUGCUAGUAGUGUUGAUUACUCUUUGUAGUUGAUGCUAGUUGGAUUACUCGGUGGAAGAUUAUAUGUUCAGAUCCUUGAUGCUAUUCAAUACCUCUCUGGUCAUGAACAUAAUUAUGCUUUCUGAGUAGUUACUUUUUUCCUGAGGACAUGGGAUAAGUCAUGCUAUAAGUAGUCAUGUGAAUUUGGUACUCGUUCGAUAUUUUGAUGUGUUGUAUGUUGUUUUUCCUCUAGUGGUGUUAUGUGAACAUCGAAUACAUAACACUUCACCACUGUUUGGGCCUAGAGGUAGUCAUUGGGAAGUAGUAAGUAGAUGAUGGGUUGCUAGAGUGACAGAAGCUUUAACCCUAGUUUAUGUGUUGCUUCGUAAGGGGCUGAUUUGGAUCCACUAGUUUAAUUCUAUGGUUAGAGUUUGUCUUAAUUCUUCUUUCGUAGUUGCGGAUGCUUGCGAGAGGGGUUAAUCAUAAGUGGGAUGCUUGUCCAAGUAAGGGCAGUACCCAAGCACCGGUCCACCAACAUAUCAAACUAUCAAAGUACCGAACGCAAAUCAUACGAACUUGAUGAAAACUAGCUUGACAGAAAUUCCCAUGUGUCCUCGGGAGCGCUUUACCUCCUAUAAGAGUUUCUCCAGGCUUGUCCCUUGUUGCAAAAGGGAUUUGGCCACUUUGCUGCACCGUCGUUACUAUUGUUACUUGCUACCUGCUACGAAUCAUCUUACCACACAACUAUCUGUUACCGAUAAUUUCAGUGCUUGCAGAGAUUACCUUGCUGAAAACCACUUGUCAGAUCCUUGUGCUCCUCGUUGGGUUCGACACUCUUACUUAUCGAAAGGACUAUGAUAGAUCCCCUAUACUUGUGGGUAAUCAAAGAGCGCCAUUGCACCUUUGGAGAAGAUGGUGCCGUUGUCGGCGAUGAUGCUAUGGGGGAUGCCGUAGCGGACGGACAUGUCCUUCAUGAACUUGACGACUGUGGGACCGUCAAGCUUUUUGAUUGGCCUGGCCUCAAUCCACUUGGUGAACUUGUUGAUGGCUACAAGGAGAUGCGUCAUGCCACCUCAAGCAGUCUUGAGUGGGCUUAAUACGUCCAUUUUGCAUCAUGUUUUCAUGUUGAUAUUUACCGCUUCUUGGGCUAUUAUUUCACUUCAUGGUACAAUACUUAUGCCUUUUCUCUCUUAUUUUGCAAGGUUUACAUGAAGAGGGAGAAUGUCGGCAGCUAGAUUUCUGGCCUGAAAAAGGAGAAAAGUUGAGAUACCAAUUCUGCGCAACUCCAAACGCCGUAAAAAUCAACGACGAUUUUUUUUCCGAAUUUAUAGAAAAUACUAGGCCCAAGAAGUGCCAGAGGGGCGCGAGCAGGUGGCCACAAGCCUGCUUGGCGCGACCACCCCCUGGCUGCGCCAAGAGGGCUUGUGGGCAGCCUGCUGGCCCAUUGCCCCCCUCUUCUGCUAUAUCAAGGGUUUCGUCUGGAAAAAAAAUCAGAGAGGAGCUUUUUCAUGGAUUCGCCGCCGCCACAAGGCGGAACUUGAGCAGAACCAAUCUAGAGCUCCGGCAGGACGAUCCUGCCGGGGAAACUUCCCUCCCAGAGGGGGAAAUCGUCGCCAUCAUCAUCACCAACACUCCUCUCAUCGGAGGGGACUCGUCACCAUCAACAUCUUCAUCAGCACCAUCUCAUCUCCAAACCCUAGUUCAUCACUUGUAACCAAUCUCUGUCUUGCGACUCCGAUUGGUACUUGUAAGGUUGCUAGUAGUGUUGAUUACUCUUUGUAGUUGAUGCUAGUUGGAUUACUUGGUGGAAGAGUUUAUGUUCAGAUCCUUGAUGCUACUCAUUACCUCACUGGUCACGAAUAUGAUUAUGCUUUGUGAGUAUUUACUUUUGUUCCUGAGGACAUGGGAUAAGUCAUGCUAAUAGUAGUCAUGUGAAUUUGGUAUUCCUUUGGUAUUUUGAUGUGUUGUAUGUUGUUUUUCCUCUAGUGGUGUUAUGUGAAAGUCAUCUACAUAACACUUCACCAUUAUUUGGGCCUAGAGGAAGGCAUUGGGAAGUAGUAAGUAGACGAUGGGUUGCUAGAGUGACAGAAGCUUAAACCCUAGUUUAUGUGUUGCUUCGUAAGGGGCCAAUUUGGAUCCACUUGUUUAAUGCUAUGGUUAGACUUUGUCUUAAUUCUUCUUUCAUAGUUGCGGAUGCUUGCGAGAGGGGUUAAUCAUAAGUGGGAUGCUUGUCCAAGUAAGGGCAGUACCCAAGCGCCGGUCCACCCACGUAUCAAACUAUCAAAGUAACGAACGCGAAUCAUAUGAACAUGAUGAAACUAGCAUGACAGAAAUUCCCGUGUGUCCUCCUAUAAGACUUUGUCCAGGCUAGUCCCUUGCUACAAAAGGGAUUGGGACACUUUGCUGCACAGUUGCUACUUUUUUUACUUGUUUCUUGCUACGAAUCAUCUCACCACACAAUUAUUUGUUAUCGAUAAUUUCAGUGCCUGCAGAUUUUACCUUGCUGAAAACCAUUUGUCAGAUCCUUCUGCUCCUCGUUGGGUUCGACACUCUUACUUAUCGAAAGGACUACGAUUGACCCCCUAUACUUGUGGGUCAUCAAGACUCUUUUCUGGCGCCGUUGCCGGGGAGGGAAGCGCCUUUGGUAAGUGGAACUUGGUAAGGAAACAUUCAUAUAGUGUGUUGAAAUUUAUUGUCAGUUGUCACUAUGGAUACUAAUCCUUUGAGGGGCUUGUUCGGGGUAUCUUCACCUCGAACGAAAGCACAAAGAGUUGCUCCUCAACCUGCUGCACCUACUGAAAUUUUUUUCUUUGAAUUUCCUUCGGGUAUGCUUGAGAAACUGCUGGCUAAUCCUUUUACAAGAGAUGGAACAUCACAUCCAUACUUGCAUCUAAUCUAUGUAGAUGAAGUUUGUGGUUUAUUUAAGCUUGCAGGUUUUCCCGAGGAUGAGGUCAAUAAGAACGUAUUUCCUUUAUCUUUGAAGGAUAAGGCGUUGACAUGGUAUAGGCUAUGUGAUGAUACUCGAUCAUGGGACUACAAUCGGUUGAAAUUGGAAUUUCAUCAAAAGUUUUAUCCUAUGCAUUUAGUACAUCGUGAUCGGAAUUAUAUUUAUAAUUUUUGGCCUCGUGAUAGAGAAAGCAUCGCUCAAGCUAGGGGGAGUCUUAAAUCGAUUUUAUAUUCAUGCCCCAAUCAUGAGCUCUCGAGAAAAAUUAUCAUUCAGAACUUCUAUGCUCGGCUUUCUCAUGAUGAUCGCACCAUGCUUGACACUUCUUGUACCAGUUCUUUUAUGAAGAGAGAUAUUGACUUCAGCUGGAUUUUAUUGGAGAGAAUUAAACGCAACUCUGAAGAUUGGGAGCUUGAAGAAGGUAAGGAGUUAGGUAUGAAUUUCACGUUUGAUUGCGUUAAAUCCUUUGUUGAGACAAACACUUUUUGUGACUUGAGCGCUAAGUAUGGACUUGACUCUGAGAUAGUAGCUUCAUUGUGUGAAUCUUUUGCUGCUCAUAUUGAUCUCCCCAAAGAGAAGAGGUUUAAAUAUCAUCCUCCUUUAGAAGUCAAUGUAGUUAAACCCAAUCAAGUUGAAGAGAGAGUCAUUGCCUAUAAUGAUCCUGUUGUUCCCAGUGCUUACAUUGAGACACCACCUUUCCCUGUUAGGAUAAAGGAUCGUUCUAAAGCUUCAACUGUGAUACGUAGGAGCUACAUUAGAACACCUACACCCCCUGAGCAAAUUAGAUUUGAACCUAACAUUGCUAUUAUCAAAGAUCUCCUAUCCGACAAUGUUGAUGGCCAUGAUAUUCCCUUUUGUGAAGAUGCUGCUAGAAUUGCUAAACCUCACGCUAGAGACAAACAUAGGCCUGUUGUUGGCAUGCGUGUUAUUUCUGUUAAGAUAGGAGAUCAUUGUUAGCAUGGCUUAUGUGACGUGGGUGCUAGUGUUAGUGCAAUACUUCAAUCCUUAUUUGAUGAAAUCAAAGACGAGAUUGCACCUAUUGAGAUAGAGCCUAUUGAUGUCACUAUUCAGCUUGCCAAUAGAGAUACUAUCUGCCCUGUGGGAAUUGUUAGGGAUGUUGAAGUAUUGUGUGGUAAAACGAAGUAUCCUGCUGAUUUCCUCGUUCUUGCUACCGCACAAGAUAGCUUUUGUCCCAUCAUAUUUGGCAGACCUUUUCUCAAUACCGUCAAUGCUCAUAUUGACUGUGAGAAGCAAACUGUCACUGUUGGCUUUGCAGGUGUGUCACAUGAGUUCAAGUUCUCUAAGUUUGGUAGACAACCUCAUGAAAAGGAGUCGCCUAGUAGGGAUGAAACUAUUGCCUUAGCCUCUAUUGCCGUACCUCCUACUGAUCCCUUAGAGCAAUACUUGCUUGAGCACGAAAAUGAUAUGCAUAGGGAUGAAAGGGAUGAGAUAGAUAGAGUUGUCUUAGAACAAUAUCCUAUCCUUAAGAAUAACUUGCCUUGUGAACUGCUUGGGGAUCCACCCCCACCAAAAGGUGAUCCUGUGUUCGAGCUUAAACAGUUGCCUGAUACUCUUAAGUAUGCUUAUCUUGAUGAAAAGGAGAUACAUCAUGUUAUUAUUAGUGCUAGCCUCUUAGAGCAUGAAGAAAAGAAGUUAUUUAAGACUCUGAGGAAGCACCGUGCUGCUAUUGGAUAUACUCUUGAUGAUCUUAAGGGCAUUAGUCCCACUCUAUGCCAGUACAAGAUUAAAACUGAUCCUAAUUUCAAACCAGUUGCUGAUCAUCAAAGGAGAUUAAAUCCUAAGAUGAAAGAAUUAGUGAGAAAAUAAAUACUAAAGCUCCUGGAAGCAGGUAUUAUCUAUCCUGGUGCUCAGAGCGCUUGGGUGAGUCCGGUGCAUUGCGGCCCUAAGAAGGGAGGUAUUACCGUUGUCCCUAAUGAUAAGGAUGAGUUGAUCCCACACAGGAUUAUGACUGGCUAUAGGAUGGUGAUCGAUUUAAGGAAAUUGAAUAAAGCCACUAGGAAAGAUCAUUACCAUUUGCCUUUUAUCGACCAAAUGCUGGAAAUACUGUCUAAACACACACACUUCUGCUUUCUAGACGGUUAUUCUGGUUUCUCCCAAAUACCAGUUGCACAGUCUGAUAAGUAGAAAACCACUUUCACCUGCCCUUUCGGUACCUUUGCUUAUAGACGUAUGCCUUUUGGCUUAUGUAAUGCACCUGCCACCUUUCAAAGAUGUAUGAUGGCUAUAUUCUCUGACUUUUGUGAAAAGAUUGUCGAGGUUUUCAUGGAUGACUUCUCCGUUUACGGAUCUUCCUUUGAUGAUUGCCUCAACAACCUUGGCCGAGUCUUGUAGAGAUGUAAAGACACCAAUCUUGUAUUGAACUGGGAGAAGUGCCACUUUAUGGUUAAUGAAGGCAUCGUCUUAGGACAUAAAAUUUCGGAAGAGGUAUUGAAGUCGAUAAGGCUAAGGUUGAUGCAAUUGAGAAAAUGCCAUACCCCAUAGGUAUCAAAGGUAUAAGAAGUUUCCUUGGUCAUGCUGGUUUCUAUAGAAGGUUCAUUAAAGACUUGUCUAAGAUUUCUAGGCCUCUUACCAAUCUCUUGCAAAAGGAUAUUCCUUUUGUCUUUGACGAUGAUUGUGAGGAAGCCUUCGAAAUAUUUAAGAGGGCUUUGAUAACUGCACCUAUUGUUCAACCUCCAGAUUGGAACUUGCCUUUCGAGAUCAUGUGUGACGCUCGUGAUUAUGCUGUUGGUGAUGUCCUAGGGCAAAGAGUCGAUAAGAAGUUGAAUGUUAUUCACUACGCUAGUAAAACUCUAGACAGUGCCCACAGAAACUAUGCUACUACGGAGAAGGAAUUUUUAGUAGUCGUGUUUGCAUGUGAAAAGUUCAGGUUUUACAUAGUUGAUUCCAAAGUCACUAUUCACACUGAUCAUGCUGCUAUUAAGUACCUCAUGAAAAGAAAGACGCUAAACCUAGACUUAUCAGAUGGGUUCUCUUGCUACAAGAAUUUGAUUUGCACGUUGUUUACAGGAAGGGUGCUGAUAACCUAGUGGCAGAUAACUCGUCUAGGUUGGAGAACGUUCUCGAUGACCCACAACCUAUUGAUGAUAGCUUUCCUGAUGAGCAAUUGAAUGUCAUCAAUGCUUCACAUAGUGCAUCGUGGUAUGCUGAUUAUGCAAACUAUAUCGUUGCCAAAUAUAUACCACCUAGUUUCACAUACCAGCAAAAGAAGAAAUUCUUCUUUGACUUGAGACAUUACUUUUGGGAUGAUCCUCACCUUUAUAAGGAAGGAGUAGAUGGUGUUAUUAGACGUUGUGUACCUGAACAUGAAUAGGGUCAGAUCCUACAGAAGUGUCACUCCGAGGCCUACGGAGGAAACCAUAACAGGGUCAGAUCCUACAGAAGUGUGACUCCGAGGCCUACGGAGGACACCAUGUGGGAGAUAGAACUGCACACAAGGUAUUGCAAUCAGGUUUCUAUUGGCCCACUCUCUUCAAGGAUGCCCGUAAGUUUGUCUUGUCUUGUGACGAAUUUCAAAGAAUAGGUAAUAUCGGUAAACGUUAGGAAAUGCCUAUGAACUAUUCACUUGUCAUUGAACCAUUUGAUGUUUGGGGCUUUGAUUAUAUGGGACCUUUUCCAAAAUCCAACGGGUUUACUCACAUCUUAGUUGGUGUUGAUUACGUCACUAAGUGGGUAGAACCUAUCCCCACUAGUAGUGCUGAUCACAACACAUCUAUCAGGAUGCUUAAAGAAGUUAUCUUCCCUAGAUUUGGAGUCCCUAGAUAUCUAAUGACCGAUGGUGGUUCACAUUUCAUUCAUGGUGCUUUCCGUAAAACGCUUGCUAAGUACGAUGUCAACCAUAUAUUUGCAUCUCCCUAUCACCCCAGUCCAGUGGUCAAGUAGAGCUAAGUAAUAGAGAGAUUAAACUGAUUCUACAAAAGACUGUCAACAGGUCUAGAAAGAAUUGGUCUAAGAAGCUUGAUGAUGCAUUGUGGGCUUAUAGAACUGCCUAUAAGAAUCCCAUGGGCAUGUCUCCGUACAAAAUGGUGUACGGUAAAGCCUAUCAUUUACCUCUUGAGUUAGAGCAUAAAGCUUAUUGGGCAAUCAAAGAGCUCAACUUUGAUUUCAGACUUGCCGAUGAGAUGAGGUUAUUUCACAUUAGCUCGCUUGAUGAAUGGAGAACUCAGGAAUAUGAGAAUGCCAAGUUGUUCAAAGAGAAGGUUAAGAGGUGGCAUGAUAAGAGGAUACAAAAGCAUGAGUUCAAUGUAGGUGAUUAUGUCUUGCUAUAUAACUCUCGUUUAAGAUUCUUUGCACGCAAGCUUCUCUCUAAAUGGGAAGGUCCCUAUGUUGUUGAGGAAGUAUAUUGUUCCGGUGCUAUCAAGAUCAACAACACGGAAGGUAAUUGUCCGAGAGUUGUAAAUGGGCAGAGAAUCAAGCAUUAUAUCUGAGGUACUCCCAUAAAUAUUGAAAGCAAUAUCAUCAAUACCAUAACUCCGGAGGAGUACCUAAUGGAUAUUUAUCAGCCUGUUUCAGACUCCGAAAACGAAGAGGUAUGUGAUUCGGUAAGAAAACAGAGUCCAAAACUUUUCGAGUAGGAAAUUUUCUCCAUUUUGGAAUAUUUGAAAAAUAGAAAAAUUGGAAGUAGUCCGGAAAGUGCGCGAGCAGGCGACAAGCCUGCCCGACACGGGCCCACCCCGUGGCCGCGCCGGGAGGGCUUGUGGCCACCUCGUGCGCCUCAGGGAAUCCUUUUUCAUGCGGGGUACUCCUUGUGGUCUGGAAAAAAUCAAUAUAUACUCUCCUGUUUGGUCUGACCCCUGCAUCAUGCAGAUUUCCUCUGUUUUUCGUUUCGAGCCUGUUUCUGUUGCAGAUCUAGAUCGCUAUGACUUCCCCAAAAGGACAAGAUCUUCGAGAAGGUCAUCAAUCCCUACCUCACGGGAGUGCUGCAACACCCUCAAUCUAUCGAGAUGCGUGAGGGGAUGUUGCACAUCCGUGAUGUUGAGGGGCCCAAGAAGACCGGAAGCGUGGAGACGAGGCUCGAAGCAAUGGAGCAACAAGUCUUCAAGUGCCAAGGGAUGGUGGAGCGUGGACUCAACGCCAACCACAUGAUGAUCACGGAGUUCACCACCAAGCACAAGAUUGAUGCCAAUGACAUUGUGAAGCACUCUCCAGGCUCUAUGACAGGAUUGAUCAACUCCAGGCCCAGAUCUACGACCUGCAGAACCAAAACUGUGAGUAUGAGUAUAGAUUUAAAUCAAUAAGGUUGGCUAAGGAUUUGAGGAUUCCGGAGACUCGUUCAUCUUUCCAUGAUGGAGAACCCAUGACUUGGAAGACGUAGGAUCAAACCCAUGUUGCAACAACUCCACCACCAUCACCACCAAAGAAAGACAACUGAGCAUGGGUAUGGGCAAUCCCCUUGGCUUUUGCCAAGCUUGGGGGAGUUGCCCCGGUAUCGUAUCACCAUCACAUCUUUUGCCUUUACCUUUGUUUUAGUUCGUUCCUUUUCACUUUUCUUUUUCUCUAGUAGUUUAAAAGUAUUAGUGUUUUAGUCUUGAGUUUUGCUUUGUGUCACCCCCGAUGUAUUCGAGCUCGUGAGCCAUAUAAUAAACAAUGUCUUAGUUGAAGGGCUUUGCCUCUUGCCAUGAUCAAAAGAGUGAGAAAAGAACAAAAGCAUGAAAUAUCAUGUAAUGAUCUUAUGGGAAGUGAUGGCUUCACAUAUAAAAAGAAUGUUGAUUAAAACUUGUUGAUGGUAGAGAAACGUAGACCUUGGUCAUUGUUGCAAUUAAUAAGAAGUGAUAAGGAAGGAGAGGUUCACAUAUAAAUACAUCAUCUGUGACACCAUCUAUGAUUGUGAACACUCACUAAACUAUUACAUGCCUAGAAGUAGAUGUUGGACAAGGAAGACAACAUAAUGAAUUGUGUUUGCUUGGUUCCGAACAAUGUUAUAUGACUAGAGAUCCCUUAGCAUGUGACGAUUGCUUCCACCUCACAUUAUCCAAACCUCCCGCACUAAGUAGAGAUACUACUUGUGCAUCCAUAAACCAUCAACCAGUUUUGCCAUGUGAGUCCACCAUACCUACCUAUGGAUUGAAUAAGAUCCCUCAAGUAAGUUGUGAUUGGUGCAAGCAAUAAAAAUUGCUCAUGAUCUAUUAGUGUGUGGAAAAUAAGCUUUAUACGAAACUGUGACAAGGAAGGCAUAAAAGCGAUAGACUGCAUAAUAAAGUUCUUUAUCACAGGAGGCAAUAUAAAGUGACGUUCCUCCGCACUAAGAGGACACACAUCCAAACUUCAAAAGCACAUGACAACCUCUGCUUCCCUCUGCGAAGGGCCUAUCUUGUACCUUCACUUUUUUCCUUUGAAAGAGUCAUGGCGAUCUUCACCAAUUCCUUGUUUCGCCUUUAUCUUGGCUAAUGUCAUAUGCUUGGGAAAGAUCUAUAUUCAUAUAUCAACUUGGAGGUAAGCAUUCAUGAAUUAUUAUCGUUGACAUUACCCUUGAGGUAAGCAGUUGUGAGGCAAAACUAUAAGCCCCUAUCUUUCUCUGUGUCCAGCUGAAACUUUGAUCUCAUGAGUACCACGUGAAUUGUAGCAAUUGUAGAGAACAAAAGAAUGAUUGAGUAUGUGGAUUUUCUUUAAAAGCUCUUAUUUGACUCUUUCCGAUGUUGUGCUAAAUUGCAAUUGCUUCAAUGACUAAAGGCUAUCGGUUGUGACUUCUCGGUAAGGUUCUUGAUCUAUGCUUUAUUUUGUGAAGGAAUUAUCACUUUAGCAUGAGAGAUUAUAUGUUGGUAUUGCUAUUUUGAUCAUGAUCAUGAUGCAGGAAUGUUCGUAUCUUGUUUUGUCAACACCUCUCUCCCUAAACAUGUGGACAUAUUUAUUGAGCUAGGCUUUCGCUUGAGGACAAGCGAGGUCUAAGCUUGGGGGAGUUGAUACGUCCAUUUUGCAUCAUGUUUUCAUGUUGAUCUUUAUCGCUUCUUGGGCUGUUAUUUCACUUCACGGUACAAUACUUAUGCCUUUUCUCUCUUAUUUUGCAAGGUUUACAUGAAGAGGGAGAAUGCCGACAGCUGGAAUUCUGGCCUGAAAAAGGAGCAAAAUUGAGAUACCUAUUCUGCGCAACUCCAAACGCCGUAAAAAUCAACGACGGUUUUUUUCGGAUUUAUAAAAAAUACUGGGCCGAAGAAGCGCCACAGGGGCGCCAGCAGGUGGCCACAAGCCUGCUUGGCGCGGCCACCCCCUAGCCGCGCCAAGGGGGCUUGUGGGCAGCCUGCUGGCCCAUUGGCCCCCUUCUUCUAUAUGAAGGGUUUUGUUUGGAAAAAAAAUCAGAGAGGAGCUUUUUCGUGGAUUCGCCGCCGCCACGAGGCGGAACUUGAGCAGAACCAAUCUAGAGCUCCGGCAGGACGAUCCUGCCGGGGAAACUUCCCUCCCGGAGGGGGAAAUCGUCGCCAUCGUCAUCGCCAACACUCCUCUCAUCGGAGGGGACUCAUCACCAUCAACAUCUUCAUCAACACCAUCUCAUCUCCAAACCCUAGUUCAUCUCUUGUAACCAAUCUCCGUCUCGCAACUCCAAUUGGUACUUGUAAGGUUGCUAGUAGUGUUAAUUACUCUUUGUAGUUGAUGCUAGUUGGAUUACUUGGUGGAAGAUUAUAUGUUCAGAUCCCUGAUGCUACUCAUUACCUCUCUGGUCAUGAAUAUGAUUAUGCUUUGUGAGUAGUUACUUUUGUUCCUGAGGACAUGGGAUAAGUCAUGCUAUAAGUAGUCAUGUGAAUUUGGUAUUCGUUCGAUAUUUUGAUGUGUUGUAUGUUGUUUUUCCUCUAGUGGUUUUAUGUGAACGUCGACUACAUAACACUUCACCAUUAUUUGGGCCUAGAGUAAGGCAUUGGGAAGUAGUAAGUAGAUGAUGGGUUUCUAGAGUGACAGAAGCUUAAACCCUAGUUUAUGCGUUGCUUCGUAAGGGGCUGAUUUGGAUCCACUAGUUUAAUGCUAUGGUUAGACUUUGUCUUAAUUCUUCUUUCGUAGUUGCGGAUGCUUGCGAGAGGGGUUAAUCAUAAGUGGGAUGCUUGUCCAAGUAAGGCAGGCUUGUCCAAGUAAGGGCAGUACCCAAGCGUCGGUCCACCCACAUAUCAAACUAUCAAAGUAACGAACGCGAAUCAUAUGAACAUGAUGAAUACUAGCAUGACAGAAAUUCCCGUGUGUCCUCGGGAGCAUUUUUCCUCCUAUAACAAUUUGUCCAGGCUUGUCCGUUGCUACAAAAGGGAUUGAGCCACUUUGCUGCACCGUUGCUACUUUUGUUACUUGUUGCUUUCUACGAAUCAUCUCACCACACAAUCACUUGGUACCGAUAAUUUCAGUGCGUGCAGAUUUUACCUUGCUGAAAAGCACUUGUCAGAUCCUUCUGCUCCUCGUUGGGUUCGACACUCUUACUUAUCGCAAAAACUACGAUUGAUCCCCUAUACUUGUGGGUCAUCAGGGCCUACCAUAUCCAGUCUCUAGAUGGCGAAGGGCUAUGACAAGGGAAUGGUCUUGAGGGUCGAGGACGACAAGUGGCUUUGCACGCUGAAGCGCUGGCAUCCGUCGCACUUGUCGACCAGGGUUGUGGCUUCUUCCAAGGCUGUGGGCCAGUAGAAUCCAUGGCAGAACGCCUUGGCCACCAGGGUUCUGGAGGCGGCAUGAUGCCUGCACUCACCCUGGUGUAUGUCCUUAAGAAUUUAUUGCCAUUCGUCUGAUUCGACACAGGACACUACAGGAAUCACCUUCUUUGCCGUCUGCCAUCACAGAUGGCAAAGACAAACACCCGGACGGCAAAGACAGUACCACGGACGGCAAAGAUUGUCACGGCCGGCAAAUUUUCUGCGUCAGCCUACGACGGCAAAUCACCUUCUUUGCCGUCUGCCCCACCCAAGCGGACGACAAAUCUCUUUGCCGUCCGCUUCCCUGGGCCGCAGUCGGCAAAGAGCUUGAGACGACAGCCGAGAGGCGUUGCCUCCGUUAGGGGUUAACGAAGGCUCUUUGCCGUCAGCCUGCUGGUCAAUCUUUGCCGUCAGCCUGCUGGUCAAUCUUUGCCGUCUGCCUUGUCCUCCCCUCCACCUCUCUCCACUCCUGCCCCUCCUCUGUGCCCUUUUCUUUGGCGUCUGCCACCCAUCAGGCAGUCAGCAAAGAGCCCAGCAGGCAGACGGCAAAUAGCCUAUAGGCAGACGGCAAAGAGCCUAUAUGGCCAGCUGCUACUGCCCAGGAAGCACAGCUGGGUGCCAUGUGGCACCUUUGCCGUCUGCUGGCUGAUGGCAAAGGCCUUUGCCAUCAGCCAGCAGACGGCAAAGAGCCCAUAUUGUCACUAUUUUGUUUAUUUUAUGUUAUUUCACAGCAAUAAUAUAUAUAAUUAAGUGCACAUAUAUGAUAUAUAGUUCACAACACAUAUAUGAUAUACAUAUAAAGUUCACCAAUGUCAUUUGUUCAUCAAUGGACAUCCAUAUAUCGAAAGAAACCAACAUAUACAAAGUUNNNNNNNNNNNNNNNNNNNNNNNNNNNNNNNNNNNNNNNNNNNNNNNNNNNNNNNNNNNNNNNNNNNNNNNNNNNNNNNNNNNNNNNNNNNNNNNNNNNNNNNNNNNNNNNNNNNNNNNNNNNNNNNNNNNNNNNNNNNNNNNNNNNNNNGCACUCCAUCAAUGCCAGCUUCCAUGCAUGUAGUACAUCCAAUCUGCAAAAUGGGAAUAAGAAAGUAAGUAGAAGAAGAACAACAACAUAUAUGACAAAUAAGCUAAAUUGAAGAAGAAAGAGAAGAAGCAAUAAGAGAACAAGGAGAAGAAAAACAAGAAGGAGGAGGAGGAGGAGGAGAAGGAGGAGGAGGAGAAGGAUAGAAGGUCCUUGGCCUUCUCCUCCUCCUCCUCCUCCUCCUCCUCCCUUCUCAUCCUCCUCUUCCUCCCCCCUCCCCUCCCCCNNNNNNNNNNNNNNNNNNNNNNNNNNNNNNNNNNNNNNNNNNNNNNNNNNNNNNNNNNNNNNNNNNNNNNNNNNNNNNNNNNNNNNNNNNNNNNNNNNNNNNNNNNNNNNNNNNNNNNNNNNNNNNNNNNNNNNNNNNNNNNNNNNNNNNNNNNNNNNNNNNNNNNNNNNNNNNNNNNNNNNNNNNNNNNNNNNNNNNNNNNNNNNNNNNNNNNNNNNNNNNNNNNNNNNNNNNNNNNNNNNNNNNNNNNNNNNNNNNNNNNNNNNNNNNNNNNNNNNNNNNNNNNNNNNNNNNNNNNNNNNNNNNNNNNNNNNNNNNNNNNNNNNNNNNNNNNNNNNNNNNNNNNNNNNNNNNNNNNNNNNNNNNNNNNNNNNNNNNNNNNNNNNNNNNNNNNNNNNNNNNNNNNNNNNNNNNNNNNNNNNNNNNNNNNNNNNNNNNNNNNNNNNNNNNNNNNNNNNNNNNNNNNNNNNNNNNNNNNNNNNNNNNNNNNNNNNNNNNNNNNNNNNNNNNNNNNNNNNNNNNNNNNNNNNNNNNNNNNNNNNNNNNNNNNNNNNNNNNNNNNNNNNNNNNNNNNNNNNNNNNNNNNNNNNNNNNNNNNNNNNNNNNNNNNNNNNNNNNNNNNNNNNNNNNNNNNNNNNNNNNNNNNNNNNNNNNNNNNNNNNNNNNNNNNNNNNNNNNNNNNNNNNNNNNNNNNNNNNNNNNNNNNNNNNNNNNNNNNNNNNNNNNNNNNNNNNNNNNNNNNNNNNNNNNNNNNNNNNNNNNNNNNNNNNNNNNNNNNNNNNNNNNNNNNNNNNNNGGAGGAGAAGGCCAGGGGCCUUCUCCUCCUCCUCCUCCUCCUCCUCCUCCUCCUUCUUCUCUUCUUCUUCAUCUCUUCUUCUUCUUUCUUUUCAUUUUGCCUAUUUCUUCUCCUCUUCUCCUCUUGUUGGAGCUAAAUUACCUAAUUAUGUCUUUUUUGAGCUAAAUUGGCUAAUUAUCUCAUUUUAGAGGAAAACAAGCUAAGUUUGGAGGAGAAACUUACCGUAGUGGUCAUCAAGGAGGAGAAACACCACGGUUGCUCGCGCCGGCUUCGUCUGGAGACGGUUGCCCUCGAGAAGGCUCUGGACCCGCGCCCACCAUCUUUCAACACCUGCCAUGAAUAGUACAACAUAAAAAAAUUGAAUGACUGACAUGAAUAAUAAUAUGUACAUGAAUAGUAAAUAUUAAAAUAUAUAUAAUUUAAGCUUUGAAUCUUACAAACUAAUAAUCAUCAUCAAUAAAUGCAUCAUCAUCAUCACUAUCACGCAUGUCUUCAUGAAUGACGUGUUCAUCGGGUUCAACGGCGUGAAGUUGUGAAAGGCCUUCCUUUAAUCGUUGAAGCAUUGACAGGUCAUCCGCAUGAGUAACCUCUACGAGUUCCAGGUCUUCUGGUUCCGGCUCAGGGCUGGAGUCGGAUUCAUUGUCGCUGUCUACUUCCAUGUUCUUGGAUGAAGCACGGCGGUUCUUGAAACGUUUCUUGGAAAGACGUGCUUCUUGGAAGAAUUCUCCAUCAUAUGUGUCUGGGUUAAUGUGAGGUUCAUAAUCCUGUUCAUUUGGGAGAGGUGGUCUGACAUGUGGCGGCACUUCAUAAACAACAUACCAACCUUCCAGAUUCUUAUCCGUUUGGCAUGCCCACGGUAGGUAGAAAACUUGGGUCGCCUGUUGAGCCAUAAUAUAGACAUCGGGAACAUCUAAAUGGGUGUUUGGAUUGAUUUCGACUAGUCCUAUAUGUUCAUGAGUCCUUCUAGUCUCCUUCGGCUGGAAAAUAACAUUUGAAGACUACGACGUUCGGUGGGUUUUCACCAUAGAAUUGAAGUUCAUAAAUUGCUUCAACUCUUCCAUAAUACUCGAUAACACCUUCGCCGAUAGCAGAGACACCACAAUUUGUAGAUUUCCGGUCGGGCAUAGAUAGCUCUUUGCCAAAGGUACGAAAGAGAUACCCGUUGAUGUUGUAUUUCUCAAAUGAACGGACCUUAUAGUCAAAACCAUUAGCGACUUGUCUCAAUUCGGCGUCCAUAGACUCUGAAUUAGCCUACAAGUUUAAUACGAAACGGUUGUUGCAUUAGCCGCAAGUUAGACCAAGAAUGAAAUGGUCCAUUAUUGAUAAUUACCGUUUGUUUGAACCAAGAGAUGAAACCGGGAUAGCCGCCUCCUGUCUUUGACAGAAGCUCAUACUCUUCGAUGGAAUCAUUUUCGAUCACCGCUCCAUCCGAGAAUUUGACGACGUAACAGCUGUUUGAAAUAUCCGGGAAUAAGAGCAGUUCAAAUGAAUUAGAAGUUACGGGAAAAUGUGUCGAGAACUCACUCGAUGUACGGCCGCACUUCUGUUAGGUUGUUGAAGAUAUACAAAGAAAUGUUCCGCCAUUCUUCGAUAUCCAACGUUAUUGGUUUCGAAGCACCGGCUGGUGCGAGCUUCCCUUUGAAUAGGCUGAGGUUGGACCCACCUUUUUUAGGGUCUCCAUCAUUGUGCCGAGGCUUCGGAUUAUGCAAAUGAUGAUUUUUGGCUUCGUAGUGUGCUGUCACAAACUUUGCCACCUCCUCAGUAAUGAAUGCCUCAGCCAUCGAUGCUUCAAUUCUACGCUUAUUUUUACAUUUAGCUCGAAGGGUCUUCUGCAUCCUCUCAGUUGCAUAGCACCAACGAUCUUGCACCGGCCCACCCAAUCUUGCCUCGGUCGGUAGAUGUAAAAUCAAAUGCUGCAUUGGAUUAAAGAAGCCCGGUGGAAAGAUCUUCUCUAACUUGCACAACAACUCCGGUGCAAACUCCUCCAUGUCUUCUACCACGCCAGGCGACAAUUCUUUCGCACAAAGAACACGGAAGAAAUAGCUCAGCUCCGCCAGUACUAGCCAUUCAUCCUCAGGAAUAAAGCCACGUAACAUCACUGGCAUUACCCGCUCUAGCCAUAUGUGCCAAUCAUGACUCUUGAGACCAAAGAUUUUUAAUUUUUCAAGACUCGCUCCCCUCUUUAGAUUCGCUGCAUACCCAUCGGGGAACAUCAAGUGCAUUUUGACCCACAAGAUAAUUUCCCUCAUAGCUGGCCUUCCAAGAUUGAACCAGGCCUUUGGCUUCGACCACUUCUGCUUUCCUUUGCCUUCUCGCACGUUUUGUAACGGUCUAUGACAUAGUGUCUCUUGAUCGACUCUAGCCUUAAUAUUAUCCUUUGUCUUCCCAUCUAUGUCGAACAAUGUACCAAAAAUAGCCUCUCGGAUAUUCUUUUCAGUGUGCAUCAUGUCGAUAUUGUGUGGAAGAAGGAGGUCUUUGAAGUACGGCAGAUCCCAGAAGCAUGGCUUGUGAGUCCAGGCGUGUUUUGAAUUAUACCCCUUGAAAUACCCUGGACGCUCUGGAUCAGGCUCGAGGGCGUUUACCUGAUCCAGGAUCUGUUGGCCUGUGAACGCAUGUGGUGCCAAGUUUUUGACAACUUUACCUUUGGUAAAGUUCUUCUUGUCUUUUCUGAACUGAUGGUCAGGAUCCAGGAACUGUCUAUGCAAGUCAAAGCAAGAAUACUUCCGACCCUCCUUCAACCAAUGAAACUGAAGAGCUGCCUUGCAUUGGGGGCACGGGAACCUUCCAUGCACACACCAUCCAGAGAAUAGCGCAUACGCUGGCAAGUCAUGCAUAGAGUACAUGUACCACACAUGCAUUUUGAAGUUUUCUUUUCUAGCGGCAUCGUAUGUCUUGACCCCAUUUUCCCAAGCUUCUUCCAAUUCAUCCUUAAGCGGUUGCAGGUACACAUUCAUAUUCUUCCCCGGAUAAUUGGGCCCUGGAAUUAUCAACGUCAGAAAUAUGUUCUUUCUUUGCAUAAUCUGCCCGGGGGGGAGAUUAAGUGGAAUGACAAAUACAGGCCAACAACUGUAUUGGGUUGCAGUCAUGCCGAAGGGAUUAAAACCAUCCGUGGCGGCGCAGACUCGAGGAUUUCUUGGAUCUGUCGCUUUAUCCUGAUGCAAUCCAUCGAAAUGUUUCCACGCUUCCCCAUCCGAUGUGUGUACCAUCAUCUUAUUCCCAUCCGCAUCUAGUUCGGUUCUUUUGCCCAAUUUGUGCCAUGUCAUCUGUCUGGCUGUCUCUUCGACCAUGAAAAGACGUUGAAGUCUUGGUACGAUUGGCAUAUACCGAAGAACACUAACUGCGAUUUUGGUCUGCCUCUUCUCACCCAUACCGUUGUCUACCACAAGAUACCUGCAAGACUCGCAAUUGGGACAAUAGUCCAAGUGUGCAUACUCCUUCCUAAAUAAGACACAUCCUUUCUCACAUGCAUCUAUCUUCUCAUAGGGCAUCUUAAGUACACGAAGUAUUUUGUCCGACUGGUACAGGUUUGCAGGCAUGACAUGGCCUUUGGGUAGGAAACGUCCAAAUAGUGUCAUCAUCGCGUCGUAGCAUUCUCUUCCCAAGUUGAACUGAGCCUUCAGAGCCAUUACUUGUGCAAUUGCAUCCAGCUGACACAGCUCGGUGUGCUCAUGGAGAGGACGUUUUGAAGACUCCAACAUUUCAUAAAAGGCCUUUGCAGAUUCUUCCAUCUCAUCUUCCGAAUCCCGAGCAUCAUCAAAGUCUUGCACCAUGUCUUUGAUCCCAGUACCAUGCUCGUCCGUGCGACGACGGACCACCUCAGCUCUUGUGCGUUGUAUAGACUCACCAUGAAAUGUCCACAACGUAUAAUUAGGCUUAAAACCCCUCCUCUGCAGGUGUUUAAUCAUUACAGCCUCUGUCGUCUUUUUAUAGUUGUCGCAUCCAGGACAGGGGCAAUAGUUUCUUUCCUCGCCAUUUGCGAAUGCGGCUUUCACAAAUUCCUUUGUUUUUAAAAACCAUUCUUUCGUCAUCUCUUUCUGACUAGGGUGACCGGUAUACAUCCACGCACGAUCACUCAUCUUGCGUAGCUACUAAAGACAGAAGAAAUAUAUUUAUAUAUAAUUCAUCAUCUAUAUUCAUCGGUUAAUCAGGUUCGCCAUUUUUAUUACGUCCAGGCAACCUACACGCUAAUAGGUAAAGAUAGGUCCUAAUCCCACCCGAGUAUGUGUAGACUGGGUUCGUUUUCCCAUGCUCUGCUCCGGAUCCAACGCAAAAUUACGGCAGCACCUCCCCACUGUUCUCCUGAUACACGUCUCCGCAAUAAACAGAGAGGAUGUGCAUCCGGAGAACAACAGGGAGGCACUGACGAAAUUCCGCAUCGGAUCCAGAGCACAGCAUACGGGAAAACGAACCCAGUCUACACAUACUCGGGCUGUCCAUGGAUAAUGUUGGACAAUUCGAAAGGAUGGCGGUUAUAAAUAUGCAAAGACAUGCAUAUUUAUAGAUGUCGCCCUUUCGAAUGGGAGACGCAUACUGGUCACGCAUACUCAUGAUUGAAGAAACCUAUAGCUAGCAAGUUUCAUCGGCACGAAGACCGGGACAGAGCAAAUUAAGGGGGUAGGAGGAGAAGUCAUUUGUGCUCACCAACAAACGCAAGGGCGGAGCUCGUCCAACGCACGUGGAGGUCGUCGAACAACUGCACAUUGAAAUUCACCCGAUCAACACAAAUAUGAUGUUUUUAUAAUUAACAUAACUAUAUGACCUAACUCAUAACUAUGUGGGUCAGUGUCCUCGCGGGUCGAAGGUCACUGGCGUCGGGGAUUGGGGUCUUUUCGGUCAACAAGAGGCCGAAGAGGUGUCGGGGCUCGGGGGUUGGGGGUCAGUGGCGUCGGGGGUCGGGGUAGUGAGUGUUGUCGGGGGUCGGGGGUCGAGGUUACCUAUAGAACUUUCUAGGUUACCUAUAAAACUUUCUAGGUUACCUAUAAAACUUUCCAGGUUACCUAUACUACUUUAUAAAACUUUCCAGGUUCCAUAAAAAAAUAUUUCAUGCCGGGGUGUCGUCGAGAUGUCGUGUCGGGGCGUCGUGUCGGGGUUUCGGGGCAUCGUGUCGGGUGUCAGGGGUGUCGUCGAGAUGUCGUGUCGGGGCGUCGUGUCGGGGUUUCGGGGCAUCGUGUCGGGGGUCAGGGGUGUCGUCGAGAUGUCGUGUCGGGGCGUCGUGUCGGGGUUUCGGGGCAUCGUGUCGGGGGUCAGGGGUGUCGUCGAGAUGUCGUGUCGGGGUUUCAGGGCAUCGUGACGGGUGUCAGGGGUGUCGUCGAGAUGUCGUGUCGGUGCGACAACUACUAUUGCGAGCUGUUGUAAUAUCCUCAACGUUGUGGCUAGUGCAAGCAUAGGCGGCGACCGGAGGGCUCUACACGGUCAACUACAAACCUAACAACUAACCUAACACACAGUAGGUAAUUAACAACUAACCUAGCUCGAGGGGUAAUACCACUAACAACUAACCUAAUUACCACUAACGACUAACAAGUAACCUAACUAACCUAAUUACCAGUACGUAACCACUAACCUAACUAACAAGUAACAACUAACCUAACUAACAACUAACCUAACUAACAACUAACAAUAGGUAAUUAACAACUAACCUAACUAACCUAACUAACCUAACCACUAACAACUAACCUAACUAACCUAACUAACAAUAGGUAAUUAACAACUAACCUAACUAACCUAAUUAAUGAAUUAAACGAAAAAAGGAAAAAACUCACCGAGGAGGAGGAGGGCCGCAGNNNNNNNNNNNNNNNNNNNNNNNNNNNNNNNNNNNNNNNNNNNNNNNNNNNNNNNNNNNNNNNNNNNNNNNNNNNNNNNNNNNNNNNNNNNNNNNNNNNNNNNNNNNNNNNNNNNNNNNNNNNNNNNNNNNNNNNNNNNNNNNNNNNNNNNNNNNNNNNNNNNNNNNNNNNNNNNNNNNNNNNNNNNNNNNNNNNNNNNNNNNNNNNNNNNNNNNNNNNNNNNNNNNNNNNNNNNNNNNNNNNNNNNNNNNNNNNNNNNNNNNNNNNNNNNNNNNNNNNNNNNNNNNNNNNNNNNNNNNNNNNNNNNNNNNNNNNNNNNNNNNNNNNNNNNNNNNNNNNNNNNNNNNNNNNNNNNNNNNNNNNNNNNNNNNNNNNNNNUGGGUUGGGGAGAGAGGAGGGGUGGGGUGGGACAGCUUUGCCGUCGGCCAUCCCUACCUUUGCCGUCUGUCAGCAGACGGCAAAGAGGUGGCUGAUGGCAAAUAUUUAUUUUGCCAUCAGCCUCCUCUUUACCGUCUGUUUUUUGCCAACACACGGUAAAGAGGUUCUUCGCCGUCUGCUGGCUGACGGCAAAGAUUUGGCGGACGACAAAUAUAGGAAUUCCAGUAGUGACAGUGUUGGAAUACGCCGGUUACGCUGCGUCGAACCACCUCGCGGUUGAUGAUGGCGUACGCGGGAGAUCGAUGUUCGAUCUGUUGUGCUUCUGCCUUGUAUUGAGGGAGGUCACCGCGAAGAAGGAAAGCCAGAAUGUGGUGUGCCCAUGAGGGGGCCGACACGGGAGGCGGCUCCGGCUCGACCUGAUGGUCAGGGGCAUCUGAAGCCCCCGAGUUUGUCGUUGUGGUCCUGGGUUUGAGACCUUCUGUCUCUGGCGCUGUCGUGGUAGCCGACAUGCCAUCAACCUCCAUGACGGCUACCCACUGGGUGUUGAGCCAUCUCGGUUCGAGGUUUUGCGUAGCUGGUGGAGUUGCCAGAGCCGGCAGAGCGAGCGUAGCCGGCGGAGUUGAUGAUUCCAACAGUUUCUCCGGACACAGAGUCAUUGGUACGGAUGGGUCCGCAUGCACAAAGAUUGAUGCCGACUCCGUUGAUGGCUUCAUAGAGGGCUUGUGCAACUGCUCGAGGGAGACGCUGACCUGGAUUGCUUGCCUUGUGGAGCCGAUUUUUGCCAGUGUAUCAUCUGCCUCGUUGUCCGCUCGGGGGACAUGAUGGAACUCGCAACCCUUGAAGGGGCCACUGAGCUUCUAGAUGAGGAAGCGUUAGCUGGCCAUGUUGGCAUCCCUAGCGUCCCACUUGCCAGAGACUUGCUGCACUACAAGAUCAAAAUCGCAGAAGCAAAGAAUCCGUCGAAUGCCGAUUUCUCUGGCAAGUCGUAGGCCGUGUGUGAGCGCCUCGUACUCGGCGACGUUGUUGGAGGCGGUGAAGUGUAUCUGGAGAACGUACUUGAGCUGGUCCCCUUUCAGAGACGUCAAGACGAUGCUGGCUCCUAGACCGGUUCGCAUAUUUGAGCCGUUGAAGUGCAUCCGCCAACGUGUGGAGUCGGGAGGUGGCGGCAGGAACUGGGCCUCGGCCCAAUCGACGAGGAAGUCUGCCACCACCUGAGACUUGAUGGCGGUGAGCGGCUCGUAGCGGAUGCCAUGGUCGGCCAUGGUGAUGGACUACUUGGCGAUCCGUCCCGUGGCAUCACGGUUGACCAUGAUUUCUGAAAGUGGAGUUGUGCUCACCACCGUGAUCAUGCUCUUGGAAGUAUUGCUUCAGCUUCUUGGCAGCCAAAUACACGCCAUAUCACAUCUUUUGAUACUGGGGGUAGUUUUGCUUGGAGGCGGACAAGACCUUGCUCAGAUAGUAGACACGGUGUUGAAUUAGCAGCACCUUGCCCUCCUCCUUGCGCUCCACUACCAAGACUACACUGGCCACACGCGUGGUUGCUGCGAUGUAGAUAAGGAUGGGCUCCCUCUCUGCCGGCGCGGCCAAGAUUGGCGUGCUGGAGAUUAUGCGCUUGAGGUCGCGGAAAGCUUCGUCCGCUUGAUCAUUCCACUCAAAUUUGGUUGUCUUCUUCAUCAGUUGAUAGAGUGGUAGCGCCUUCUCGCCCAGCCGGCUGACGAACCGGCUAAGGGAUGCCAGGAAGCCAACAAACUUCUGAACGUCGAGGAUUCAAGCCGGCUUGGCCGUGCGCUCGAUCGUUCUGAUCUUCUCGGGGUUAGCUUCGAUGUCACGGGCCGACACGAAGAAACCCAGGAGCUUGCCGGCUGAUACUCCAAAGGCGAACUUCUUUGAAUUGAGCCAGAUCUUGUAUUCGCGCAAGUUGGCGAAGGUCUCCCGCAAAUCCUCAAGGAGACUGAAAUGCUACUUGGUCUUGACGAUGCUGUCGUUGACAUAGACGUGAAUGUUCCUGNNNNNNNNNNNNNNNNNNNNNNNNNNNNNUCCUGCUGAUUUGCGGCAGGAGGCAUUGUUGCAUGCAGCGCUGGAACGUGGCGCCUACGUUCUUCAGGCCGAACGUCAUCGUCUUUUAGCAGUAGGCUCCAAAAGGUGUGGUGAAGAAGGUCAUGAGCCGAUCAUUCGGGUCCAACUUGAUCUGGUGGUAGCCAAAAUAAGCGUCCAGAAAGGACAACAAUUCACAGGCCACCGUGGAGUUGAUCACUUGAUCUAUCCGUGGCAGGGCGAAGGGGUAUUUCGGACAUGCCUUAUUCAGGCUAGUGUAAUCGAUACACAUGCGCCAUGUCUUGUUCUUCUUCAACACUAGGACUGGGUUGGCCAGCCAGUCUGGGUGGAAAACUUCCAUUAUGAAGCUGGCUGUGAGCAGCUGGGCGAUCUCUUCUCUGAUUGUGUGCCGCUUCCCCUCAGCGAAGCGGCGCAAAGGUUGUUUGACUGGCUUUGCGUCCGGCCGCACAUGAAGCUUGUGCUCGACAUACUUCCUCAGGACUCCUGGCAUGUCCUUUGAGGACCAUGCAAAUAUAUCUCGAUUCUCAUGGAGGAAGUCGACGAUCUCGCCUUCCUAUUUGGGGCUGAGGUUGGCGCCGAUGGUGACGCAUUGCUUGGGGUUGGCCAGGUCGAGCGACACUUGCUUGGUCUCCUUGGACGGCUCGAACGAGGCUUCACUGGCCGACUAGGACGGAGGAGUGGGCAGGGUCGGCUGCUCGGUAGCGUGAGCCACGAGCCGGUCAAGCUGCCUUUUCUCCACGGCAAUCACCAGUGCCUCGGCCAGCCAGCUGCUGUCACGCGCGCACUCGAGCGACUUCUUGUAGUCGCCAGCAACAGUGAUGAUGCCCCUGGGACCCGACAUCUUCAUCUUGAGGUAGGCGUAAUGGGGGAUCACCAUGAAUUUGGCUAAUGUUGGCCUGCCCAGCAGCGCAUGGUAGGGAUUGUUGAGGUCCACCACCUCGAACCAGACCAUCUUGCGAGGAAAGUGCAACUUGUCACCGAAGAGGACGUCCAGCUGGAUUUUGCCGAUCGGCGAGCAAGACUAUCCCUACACAAUGCUGUGGAAGAUAGUCCUCGUCGGCUGCAGGUCCUUCUCCUUCAGCCCAAGCUUGAGCACAGUGUCUCGGUAGAGGAUGUUGAUGCUGCUACCGCCGUCGACCAACACCCGCGAGAACCGGGAGGGGAGUCUCUUGGAGGCGAGGGUGGGGUUGAGGACGAGCGUGUAUGUGCCAGGAUUUGGCACACCGCACGAUGGUCCAUCCGACUCCAUGUAAUUGGCUUUUCAGACCAAUGCAUGUCUCGGGGAACCGAGGGGACCUUUGCAUUCACCUCAUGCCGGCGUUGACGCUGGCUAUUCUUGUCGCCGCCUUCACAAGUGAAGACGACGUAGGCCCCGUCCUACUCGAGGAACUGGUCAUGGAGACGGCCAUGAUUGGGAGGCGGCUGAGCUGGAGCCCGACCCGGACCAGGAGCCGAACCUCGAGGAGCCGCCCCCGGGGUAGCCUGCGCACCCUCACCCCGGGCCAGGCGCUGUGAGAAGCUACACUGCCGGAGUGUGUGGGUGGCCGGCUUCGCUUUGGUAUGCAUCUUGGAGGGCGCGUCGAGCAUCUGCUCAAAGGUGAGCUUGGGCUGCCAGGCGUUCUUGUCGGUUCGCUGCCGUUGAGCGCCGGCUUGAGCAGCCGUCUGCUCUUCCUCCAUGUUGGCCACCUGCUUGCUUCUGGGUUGCGGGUCGAGUUAAUCCGCCUUGCGCUUGUUGUUUGGCCCGCCUCGGUUGUCGCCAGCCGGCUUUGUUGUAGCCGACAGUUGGACGGGCUUAUCCGUCGCGCUGAUCUUGAUCCUCAUUGUAGAGUCGGUGGUGGCGUACUUAUCCGCCUUGGCCAUGAGAAUCGCCAAAGAGGUAGGCUCGGAGCACAUGAGUUUGUGCUUAAGAAGGGUGCUGUGUCGGCAGCCAUCGAUGAAGUACUGAAUAGCUUGUACUUCAUGCACUCCUUCACAGGAGUUUCACAACCCCAUCCAGCGUGUGACGUAGUCGCGAAGGGGUUCGUCAGGCUUUUGAACGCAUAUGGCUAGCUCACGGGGUCGGCCAGGGUGCUUGUAGGUGCCGGUGAAGUUGCGGACGAACGCCUCUUCAAAGUCAACCCAAGAGUUGAUGAUGCCGGCUGGCAGGCUGUUAAGCCAAGUCCUUGCCGAGCCGUCAGCAUGAGUGGCACGUAGCAGACAGCUAUGCGCUUGUUGGCCCGGGAGAUGCCGACUGUAGUGGUGUAGUCGAUCAGCUAGUCCUCCGGCUUGGCGGAGCCGCUGUACUUUGGAGUGUCACAGGGGAGGGUGAAGCCGGAAGGGAAUGGCUCCCCUCGGAUCCGGGGGCCGAAGCACGCCAGACCAAUGUGACCCUCCUCCUCCAGGAGAGCCGACUGCGCCAGAAGGUCGAGGCGGAUGCGAGCAUCAUUCUCAUUGCAAGGGACGCGAGGGCCAUCCGAGCCGCGAGCUCGGACCGGAUCGGGGGCACGGGCGUGUUAGCCCUUUCCCGACGUUCUGGUGGGGAACCUCAUGGACCGAAUCUCCUUCAUCUCCAACCGCCUCACGACGCCGGCUAGAAACUACUCGUGGCUCGCUCCGGCGCAGGGAACGCCGGUUAUGGCUUCCUUCAGCCCUCCGACCAGAGGUGUGAGGGGAUGAAGAAUGCUGAGCUUGCUGACGGCCGCUAGGGACACGGUGACCGUGAGGGUCGAGUCCUGGAGAUACUGAGAAGGCACGAGUAGGAUCAAGGUGAGCUUGCUGCUCGUUGGCAGCAUCAAGGAGGUCCUUGACGCGCUUUUCUUGGCGAGAACAUUCCUCACUCUCCGGAGCACUCAUUUCUUCAAGGGCCGCCUGGGCGCCCCGCAUGUUUUACGCGAUAGUGUCGUAGAUGGGCAUCUUGCCGCCUAGGAUUUCGGUGACAACCCGACCGCGGCCACGGACAUCUCCACGCCGGCUGGGUCCAUCAGCGGCCGGGGUGAAGUCGUAGGCGAAGUUGUAUCCAUGCUGCGUGGCCUCCAUCCGGCGCUUGGCGGUGGCAAGGGCGAUGCCCUCUACCAGGAGUUGUUUGCGAGCUUCCUCCAGCUCGGCCCUUGCUGUUGCUGUGUUCGCUGUCGGGGCGAUGGGAGUGGUCAGCCCGGCAAGAGUGACAUGAAGCGGGUCGGAAGGGCCCAGAGGGGGUGCAACCUCGUGUUCCGCAGCCUUUCCAUGGCCCGAGCUAGUGCUUGUGCUAGCAACCAUCACCUCCAUAAGAUCGGAGGUAAUGGAAACGUCACGCAGGGCAAGACACCUUGCGAAUGAUGGUGGAUCGUGAUGACCCACAAGUAUAGGGGAUCUAUACAUAAGGUCGAUAAGUAAGAGUGUCGAACCCAACGAGGAGUAGAAGGAUCUGACAAGUGGUUUUCAGCAAGGUAAUAUCUGCAAGCACUGAAAUUAUCGGUAACAAGUAGUUGUGUGGUGAGAUGAUUCAUAGCAAGUAGCAAGUAACAAAAGUAACAACGGUGUAGCGAAGUGGCACAAUCCCUUUUGUAGCAAGGGACAAGCCUGGACAAAGUCUUAUAGGAGGUAAAACGCUCCCGAGGACACAUGGGAAUUUCUGUCAAGCUAGUUUUCAUCAU